ACCUGGAGGGGCGCAAAACCAAAAUUGAGUGGGUCAGUAAAACAAUUCUUUUCCAAAUCCAAACAUUUCUCAAAACGUUGUAACCCUCUCCGUAAAACCUGUAUACUUUCCCAGAAAUGUAAAAUAUAAAUAUACAUAUAUAUUCUCAAAACUUCAUUUUUACUAUCUCAACAUUUUUCUUUAUCAAUCAUGCCAUGCCAUGUCUAAUUCAACAGUUAAGUAUGGAUGCAUCAACAAUAAUCAUAUCAGGUACAAGAAAGUAAUCAACCGGAGGCCCUCUAAUAGCCCUGUACGGUUGAACCUAGAGCUCAAAAUCUAUCACUCUCACACUCUGCCGGAGUCACUCCGCGUGACCUGUACGGCCUUCUGCACAUAAGUUACGCUCUAGUGCUUCUCAUAAUCAUCUGUGCACAUAAUCUAAGGUCACCCACCAGUCGGAAUCUCACUAACACUCUCGCGACUGGCCUGUCGUACCCACUCCGCGUGGACUGUACGACUAGCAUCUACUUGGAUCCAAGACGAGCGUGCGAUGCGGUGAAUACUAUAAGCACUAAACUAUGGUGCAGGAUUUGAGCUCAAUAUACAUCAACAUCAUCAUAACAGAAAUAAAUAAUCACAUGUGCGUCCACCGCACCAUUUCAUACAUAUGCAUCAUAAAUCAAUUCUUACCUGUGCGUCCACCGCACCAAUUCAUACAUAUGCAUCAUAAAUCAAUUCUUACCUGUGCGUCCACCGCACCAAUUCAUACAUAUGCAUCAUAUAUUAAUUCAUGCAUGGCAUUUCAACUCACAUUUCUAUAUACUUUUCAUAUCAAUUCUAUGCAUGGUAUUUCACUUCCCGUUUUUCCACAUAACUCAUAUGCAUUUCAUUUUAAACAUAUUUUCAUUUCAAUUCAAUUUCUGGGAAACGUCAAGUAUAUAUAUAUACGGAAAACAAAACUGCCCACUCACCUGGAGUUCGCCCUACAACUCCCUAGCAUAAUACACCAAGGCGUCAUGACGAUCGCCGCCUAGAACAUUAAUCAAUUCUAAUCUCAGAAUUCGUAUCGAUAGAAUAUAUAACUUAUAUAAAAUACGUCACUACGUAGUUCGAUCCGGAAGAUCUGCCACUCAGAUUUUAAAUCCAUAACUUCCAGAGGUCCACAAUAUAUCUCUAGGAUAACAUCCUAAAAUUUCAUCACCAUCCAACGGUCGGAUCGUCAAUUCACAUUUUUACCUAAAUGUGAAAACUAUAAAACGUUAUUCGAACACCUAACCAACAAUCCUUAAUAACUUUCUCAUACGGUGCUCAAUUUGGGUAUAUGAAUAUACCACGGUGAUCUACUCGACGUCACGGACGUCGACAUAUUUUUAAAAUAAUUUUAUUUUUAUUUAUUUUUUUUACUGUAGCACCUUCUUCUCCUUGGGUCGUCGGACUGGUUUUUCCGGCGGCCGUUUUCCGGGCAGUUUUUCAAAUUGCCAUAACUUUGUCAUUUCUCAACGAAAUCAAGUGAUUCAAAAACGAGAGUUGUAGCCCUUGAAGAGACAAAGAGAAUGGUACCUUGCACAAACACCUAUUUCGCCGCCGUGGUUUGGCCGAAAAACUGCCUCGAAAGCCUCGGAGGUCGCCGGAAACUGGGUAUUUUUUCAAAUGAGUAUAACUUCUUCAAUACUCAACGAAAUUGAGUGAAACAAAAAGGAAAGUUGUAGUACUUGACGAGACGAAGAGAUUGAUACCUACCUCGACUCCUAACUCGCCGGGGAUUCGCCGGAAAAUGCCUCGAAAGCUCCGGCCAAACUUUGAAACUUGUCGAUCUCCGUGUUCUUACGUCCAAAAACUUCCAACGAAGCACUCCGAGCAUCCUUGGGACUUCCUAAAGCUCACUAUGAGCUUGGUUUGGCCUAAAAACAACAACCAAUUCAAAGCUCAUGAACAGUACACAUUCACGGCAACUUUAGAAACUAGGGUUUUCGAAGUGAAACUUACUUGAAAUGGGUAUCAUCGUGAUCGUAUGGUCUUCAGGAGUACGAUGGCACUCUUAAAUCCGUCGUUGGUGGAAGUUUAGGGUGUUUUUUUUGUGGUGGUCUUGGUGGUUGCCGUGUGUUCGAGAGGGUGAGAGAGAGAGAUCUGAAAUGGAAGAAGAAGAGAGAGAAGGAAAGGUUACGGGUUUUAGGGAGUGCUUUGAGGUAUGAGGAUCCCACCUUAACCCAAACACAACAUUACAACCUAGUUUUAGUCCCUAACACAAAUUAACCAUAGUUUAGGAACUUUAAAUAAAACAAAUGUCAUCUCUUUACACACCUUAAUCUCGUUUAAGGUCAUUUUUGAAAUUUCACGUCCUCGGAAUGAAAAAUCCCGGGACGGGCUGUGACACCUAUCCCCUCCCCUUUAGUGUAGAUAAUAUCGUUUGUUAAAAAAAAAAACAAUCAUUUGACAACUAAUUUAAUUACAUUAUUAUCCGUGUGCGAAAUACUUUUUUUUAUAACUGGCAUUACAUGCCUCUUAAGAUGUUUUGAAUGUGUUUAAAAUACAGAAAAUAAUAUUUAAUAAACAACUGAUUGAAUCACAUUAUUGCUAGCCUAUUGUGAGGCUAAACCCACCCUCAUCCCCUUAGUGUAGAUAAUAUUGUUUGUUAAAAAAAAAUCAUUUGACAACUAAUUUAAUCACAUUUUAUCCGCGUGCGAAUGACCUUUUUUAUAAUUGGCGUUACACGCCUCUUAAGAUGUUUCGAACGUGUUUAAAAAUAGAGAAAUUGAAUCACAUUAUUGCUAGCCUAUUGUGAGAUACUAAUUAAAAAAACACAAAAAAUAUUAAUUAUUAAAAAAGUACUGUUAAAAUGACGAAAAUGCCUCUGCCUUAUUUGAUGCGUUAUUUUGGGAUGCCUUUGAAGUUUUUUGUCUUGGGGGCAUUUUUGUCCAAAUUUUUUUUGUUGAAGCUUGGUGAAACCAUAAUCACUAUUCACUUUUCCAUUGGCUUUAUAUGUAGAAGACUGUGUUAUUUCCUUAAAUAUAUAUAUAAGUAUUAUUUGAUGUUUAUUUAUAUAAUAUAUAGUAAAAUUUAAUUAAAUCCGCCUUGUCCGCGUAACGCUAGGCCCUAGUCUGCCGCCCGACUAGCGCCUAACAUUUUUUAGAACCUUGGUACUUAUCAGUUUACACUUAUCACAUUUUUCAUAUCACGUUUGUACUAUUUCUCUAAUAGAGGUAUGACCAGCCAACAUAUCUUAAUCUCAUCGUUAUUAGAGAGGUGAUACAAAUGUGGUAUAAAAAAUAUGGUAAAAAUAACAUUUUUGAUUUAAUGGAGUCACGUAAAACAAACGAUUUGAACCCAUGCAUUAGAAUCCAAAUAUUAAUUGUUGGGUAAGUUUGGGAGACUAGUUUUUUUAGACCAAAUUUUGUAAACUAUAUUGACACACCCCGACCCGGAAUGUCCACUUGAACUUCGAAUCAAGUUGUGAUGGCCUACACCUGGAAUGUGACGAAGCCAUAAAGUGUAGUGAUAUGGAAAAUGUGAAUAAAUUUAAACCUAAAUGUGCUUAAAUAUAAGAGUGUGCUGGUGAGCGGGAAUGAACUUAUUUUACACGUGAUGAUAGUGAAGUACAGUAAGGUAGGAUAAGGAUUAUACCAUCAUAGGUAGCCACCUAUACUGGGAUUUGCCAAGAAUCCUCGUCGAUACAAAAGCUCAGCUACUAAAACCUAAGGGGGCGAAGGGCCUGAAAAUAAAGUUUUAUAAAAAAACAUUUCUGAAAACAUUGUAACUCAUCCCCGUAACAUGAGUAGUUUCCAAAAUAUACUUACUACGUAUAGUAUAAAAAUACUUACUACGUAUAGUAUGAAAAUACUUACUGUAGCCUGCAAAAUCUCAAGAAUUCAUUACGGCAAAAUAUCUUGUAACUAAGGGCAGGACAUCCAAAAUCACAAAAUCUCAACAGUAAUAUAAGUAAAAUCAUGUGCUUAUCAAUCUAUGCUAGCACACAAGUCGGAGUCGCCUAAUGCGACUUGUACAACUGAACUAAUGUUCAUCAAUCUAUGUUAGCACACGAGUCGGAGUCGCCUAAUGCGACCUGUACGAUAAGACUGGGUGAAAUCAUAAUAUAUGCUUUAGUGCUACAAUCCUGUGAAGACUGGAGCUAUUCGAAAUCACUACGAGUAAGAGUUUUUCACCAAACUUCAACUAAAUUUCUUCUGAUUUUGGGUGGAAAUGGUAGAAGGGAGGUUGUGGAAGAGGUUACAGGUGGUGGAGUGACAUGGUUCGCCAGAAACACUGACGAAAACCGUCAAAGAAGACGAGCAAAACCAGGUCGGGUCGGCAAAGAGAAACGGCCCGUAAAUCCUGUGCCAUCUAUCUCUCUCCUUUCCAUUCCUUUCUUUUGUUUUUGAUUCGCUAGCCUUCUCUAUCUCCUCUCCCGAUUCUGCUAACAUCAUCUUCUUUCUCUCAUCCGAUUGGACAACAGCCCCCUCAUUCCUCUCAUUUCUCCCUUAUUUCCUCCGUCCGUUCUUCUUCUUUCCCUCAUUUUUCUAUCAACUAAUAUUAAAAUAAUAAUAUAAUAAUUAUGAGAAAUAUAUAAAAUAAUAAAUAGUAAUCUUUAUAAAGUACUUUUUGGAUUUGUAGUUCCAUAAAAUUUUAACCGUAACUCCGAUUUCGAAUCCGUUUGCUCCUACGUGUUCGUAUCGUUGAGUACUUCAAAAAUACGCUAAAAAAAAUAUUUUGUACGUCUCACUAUACAUUGGUCAACGAAAGUCAAUAUCCUCACCUCUAUGGCAUUUUCGUAAAUUCACAUUUUUAAAAUUUAUAAAAUCAUAGAAUUAGGGACGGGUUGUCACAAUCUACCCAUCUUAAAAAAAUUUCGUCCCCAAAAUUUGAAAUCAUUUGCUAUACAAAAUAGUGAAAAACAGCAGAAAAAUAAAUAUGUAGAGAAGAUAUCAAGUUAGAGCGGUUGCAUAAAAGAAAAUGUCAUUCCGUCGCGAUCGAAGUGCAGUGAUUCCUCUUUCAUGCCCUUAAACUCAUACUUUCCUUCUCUUUCAUUACAAUACCAAAAUAUAAUACUUUUAUAAAAAAAAUAUAAGGUCAAAAAUAGAUAUAAAAAACAUAACGUCAAAAUACGUAUGUAGUGAAGUAAAGUUAAAAUAAUUCUACUGAAAUAAAAAACCGAACGUAGAAAGAUUUCACCUACGCACUUGUAGUGUAACGUACUCCGAUAAUAAGCGUGUAGUAUCUUUGGGUCAAGCCCAAACAAUAAAUAACUAAUUAAAUAAUCAAAUAAAAAUGCUAACGUAAAAGGACCUACUUGUCUACUUGCUUAACAACACAACGAAUAAGUUAUUGAUAUUACAGUCUGCAGCCUGUAAUACCGACAACUCACUAUUGUCUUGAUAAGCAAGUAAUAAAUUCCCUAGGGUGCAAUAUUACCAUCAUGCCCCCCCCAUUGGGAAAUACACAUACAUCGUCUAAACAAAGCCUCAAUCGUGCUCAUGCACUACCCUCACGGAUAAUAUCAACAAUAUUAAUAAAUUUUCUAUAUCGUAAUCUCGAUCAUUCAAAUACAUGUUCGCAAUACUCAUCUGUCAAACAUGUUCUGUGUGUGAAAUUUCUAUACCAAGGCUCAAACAAUACCAUAGCCAAAUCAGAAAUCUAACCGCAAUUACACGUAAAUCUAACAAAGGUAAGUGUCUACCAUAACUGGCUAAAAAUGUAAAACAUUCAAAAGCAAUAUGUCCUCUAAAGUCCGGAUAGUUCAUUCAGACUAGUCGUUAAUCUGAGAGUGAAACGUGGUAUUAGACCAAAAACUUAGUAUGCAUGGCCUUCAAGAAGACUUCCCUAAACCUGAAAAUGAAACACGUAUCACUGUGAGGUAUAGUAGUGACCUGCACCCCAUAUAGCCAAACUUUGUAGCCUACAACGCCAUAGUGAACAGAUUCACAUUGAAUUUCUCUCGAAUUUAGCAAAAAAGCUAUGUAGAGAAGACUAAAAGAACACUCAAGAAUCUGACGGUCAAAACAAGUCUAUCAAAUCUAAAAUAUAAGGUGACUGGGAUUAAUGCAUAACAUCUCGCUAUCUCGGUAGUUUAUGGGACAUUCAAUCACCAACGAUUAAGAUUCGUUUAGCAAAGUAUUUGUUGGGUGAUUGAGAAAUUAAUGAUCACAACUAAAAUUUCAAGGUCCGAGCAAUUCUUUUAGACGGUUUGUCUGUUUCAAGAAUAAUACAAAGUGUAGUAGGGUAGACACGGACCCAAGAUUCACUGGAAUGCCUUCCAGCACCAAGAGGUAAAUAUGGAAUCAUAAUCAGAGUAAUUGUUGAUCGGAAUGUCAGAAAAUCCGGUAAAUUUAAGAAUGAGAAAUUUUGAUAAGUGGUCCAAAAUGUAAUCAUUCCGGACCAACGGAAGGUGAGCUGACUUGUCAAGUUGAUAGAUAAUCACCGAAACAUCAUCAUAACAUCCAUAUGUACAAGAUACCUCAUACUGGGAGAUUAUGGUGAUAUUUCCCAUUUUUUCAAAUACAGUAAGUGAUUAUAACCACAUGAACGAUUUCUUGAGGAUUCGUAGAUAACGUCAUAUCAAUACUCCUGAAUCCCAACUAGAAUGGAACAGGACAAGCUAAAGAUGUUCAAGGGUAGAUAUGUCUUUUGUUAUGGUAAAUAGUAUUUAUGUUUGCACAACCGGGAUAAUACAUGAUAGUGCAGUCAUAGACAUUGAUUUGAUUCUUCCAUCAUCACUACCAAAGAUUUAGUUCCCUUCAAAUGAAGAUGUAUUUGAGAUUUCUAAGGUUGAUAAAGAUUUUGGAAACGCUUCUCCACAAAGAAGUGUCAUCCGGUUUCCAAAUGAAGAUGAUGCCAAUUGACUCUAGGUCAUGAAUAAGAUAGUUCAUUUCGAACAGUUUUACAUGUUGGGAAAUAUAAGCGAUACUCUGAAAUGCUGCCUUUACACAGCCGAAACAUCCAAAGAAGACAUCAGCAUGGAUUUCCAAAUUGAUCAAAGUCAUCGAAGGGCGUAAAACAAAGGUGAAACAACAAUUCAGUUGUCAGAAACUUUAUUCAUAGUCAACAUCCCAAAUUGAAUUAACUUCCCAUGGUCGAUAAGUGAGGAAAGACACUAUAGCCGAAAAAUCGCUAAUAAAUUAUCGAUAAAAUUGACAAGACCAAGAAUAUCUUGGAUUUCAUAACACAUUGUGAGGAUUCAACUUUCUUCUGCCAUAACCUCUAUGGAAAUUGGCAAGGAUGUCAUCUACUAAGAUCACGUCUCCUAAGAAAAGUACCAAUUAAAUCAAGGUUAACAGUUGAGCAAUUUGGUAUAAAGCUGACUCUCGGUGUUUAGAAAAUUUAAUCUCACUGCAGAGGUAGAUGAGAAAAUCAUCCUUAAGACCACUAUGAAUUUGUCAGGCUAUGGAGGAAAGCUCGGAUUACAAAAGUUGGUCGAAGAGACCAUCAAUUCGAAGUAAUGGUUUUUGUUGAUGCACAAAAUCAGUGGGGACUUUGGUGCAACAUAAAGUAUUAAGUUUGUGACCUUCGCUAGAUUGCUCCGGUCACUAGUGUGGAUAAGUAUGUAAAUGGAUAGAGACAGGGAAGAAAACACAAGAUGUACGUGGUUCACCCAGAUUGGCUACGUCCAUGGAGUAGAAGAGUUCUCAUUAAUUGUGAAGGGUUUACACAAGUACAUAGGUUCAAGCUCCCCUUUAGUGAGUACUAGUGAAUGAUUUAGUAUAAAUGAAAUUAGGAAAUAUUAUGGGAGAAUGAUCUCCUUUUAUAGAAGAGAGUUUCUAGCUUUGUUUUGACAUUGACACGUGUCGUGUUGUGAUUGGCUUCUGAUGUUGACACGUGUUGCGUUAUGAUUGGCUUUUGAUGUCGACACGUGUCGCGCUGUGAUUAGCCUCCUGGUUGGAGGGAAGCUCUUCUGGAUGUUUGACGGUAUAAAGUUGACCGGUGCUCAGUAGUUUCGGGAUUGGUCAAGUAUGGUACAAACAGUGCUCCCCUAAGUUCCCGAGUGAGCGAAACUCCUUGGUUGGGGACUUGCAAGAUCUAAGUCGCUGAGUAAUCACGAAACUUCUAAGUACCGAAGUGUGGUAUCAUCCUCACUUACCUUAUCUGUCUCAUAGGUAGAUGUGGCAUCUUCUCUGGAAGUACUUUUCCUCCAUCCAGGGAUGGUAUUUUUAACUGGUGGAGAUGCACAAGGUAAUGUAUCAAUUUGACUUGAAGCUUACUUAGUUUUAGGCUUGGUCAAGCCCGAUACAAACCAUGUAGUAGGAGUCCCCCAAGUCGCUGAGCUAAGAGAUUUUCCGAAAAAGGUGACAGACAAGGUAAGCAAUUAGAGUUCCAAGCAAUCAGUCUCAGAUCAGAAGUUUGAUUUCGAGUUCCGGCUGAUUGUUCUCAUUCUCCCUAUCUUGCAGGCAGCAAGAAGGAUAAAAAGAAGAAAAAAGAGAAAAGAUGAUAUGAGAUACUUUUGCUUUUGAAGAAGUAACUUUCCACAGACUUAUUCUUGAACUGGGCUGGAGGGUUUUCAGGUUUCCUCCAGAGUAUGAGGCCGACUCAAGAAUUUGAGGGUCAAAACAAGUCCAUCAAAUCUAGAGUACGUUCGACCCUGAUGAUAUGUGAUACUUUUGCUGUUGACAAUGUAGUGGAUGUAUCGGCACGUGUUCUGUUACGCUUGUCUCCACAUGCUUCCUCGUAUUCUUCUCACUUGCCCUAUCUGUUCCUCAGGCAUAUAUGGUAUCUUCUCUGGAAGCAUAAGAUGUUGAAGAUGAGUACUUGAGAGCAAUGUUAGGUAAGUAAUCAGGCAAAGGGUUCUAGGCAGUCAGUUUCUGACUGGAAGCUUGAUUCCAAGUGCUGACUGAUUGCUCUCUUUCUCCUUAUCUUGCAGGUAAGAACAAGGCCAAAGGAAAAGACAGGGAAAAAGCAUGAUAUGAGAUACUCUUGCUUUUAACUCUGAUGAUAUGAGAUAUUCUUGAUCUGGUGUGGCUUGUUUGCAGAGGUAUUGUCGGGGGGAAAAGAAGUUGGGUAUUUCGAGAGACUCUGCUGAGAGUGCCAUUUCGGAUGUGAAGAAAAGUUGAGCAUUUUUUAUUUAUUUGCAGGUCUGCCUGGUUGUGGAUGAUGAAGGUCGACAUAUAUAGGAGUCUUUCUAACAAUAAGUAGUAGUGCUAUUCCUUUACCCUUCUUGGUCAUAUCAAUGUAGUGGGAGCUGCAAGCUUUAGGUGUUUUAACUUUGUCAGAGCACUUUGAAAAAAUGGUCUGUGGUAUCUGGAAAGCUGAUGUUGCGUGUGAAGAUUGCAGACAAGCUUUAUCCAAGGAAAUCUAGCUCUCGAAGUUCGGAGAGCGGUGCCUCUUCGGUUUUCGAACAAGCAAUCAUGUCAGGGAUCUGGCUCUCAAGAUUCAGAGAACGGUGUCUUUUCGAUUUUUGAGAAAGCAAUCCUAUUGGGAGUCUGACUCUUGAGAUUCGGAGAGCAGUGUCUCUUCGAUUUUUGAGAAAGUAAUCCUGUUGGGAGUCUAGCUCUCGAGAUUCGGAGGGCGGUGCCUCUUCGAUUUUUGAGCACGUAAUCAUGUUGGGAGUUUGGCUCUCGAGAUUCGGAGAGCAGUGCCUCUUCGAUUUUUGAGCAAGCAAUCUUAUUGGGAGUGUUUUCUCGAAUGUGAGUAAAGGUUGGGCAUUUUUGCCAGUCUGCCUUGCCACGGAGCACGGAGGUUAACACACAUAGGGACUUUCUAGUUAUCAAGUAGUGGUGCUGUUCCUUUGCCCUUGUGGGUAAUAGUAGGGUAGCUGGACCUUCAAAAUUUAUGUGUCUAAACUUUGUCAGAGAUUUUUGGCAAAGUUAUCUGUGGUACCCGAGGAGCUAAUGUUGCGUGUGGAAAGUGGUGCCUCUUCGAAAUCCGGAGAGUGGUGCUUCUUCGAUUUUUGAACCAACGACCCUGUUGCCCUUUCUUUUAUGAGGGCACCAAUUGUGUGCAAGAAGUACAUUCAGAAAGUUAUUGCUUAUAGGAAUUUUCUCCUUACUUCAGAGAUUUAUUGCACCUCAUUUCUCCUUCAUCAUUUUUGAGAAUGUCUGGCCAAUCCGACCGUCGUUUUGACGUGAACUUUGGCGAAUAGGCAGCCAUGCCUUCUCAAGACAACAUAUGGUGCCCAUCAUUCUUAUCCCCUACUGGUCCUCUUAUCGUUGGGGACUCUGUGAUGAAGAAUGAUAUGACCGCUACGAUGGUGGCUAGGAACCUCUCACUCCCAAAUAUAACAGACUACUUUCCAAACGGUCUGAUGAGUUGGCUGUUAAGGAUUAUCUGGCUCUCAGUGUUCAGUGUGCAUGUUCUGUGUCUAAUAUGGCCUAACACUUAUUUGCUCAAACCCGCCAAGUUGAAUCAUUAGCGGCUGAAGUGAUAAGUCUCAAACAGGAGAUCAUAGGGCGCAAGCAUGAGAAUAAACUGUUGCACAAGCUCGCUUUUGUGGAUGAAACUUUUGAGGUAGGUGAAGCUUUUGAGGUAGGUGAAGCUUUUGUUGGUGAAGCUUUUAUGAGUGAAGCUUUUGUGGUGGGGGAAGCUUUUGUGGGUGAAGGUUUUGUAGUGGGGGAAGCUUUUGUGGUGAAUCUUUUGUGGUGGGUGAAGCUUUUGUUGGUGAAGCUUUUGUGGGUGAGGCUUUUGUGGUGGGUAAAGCUUUUGUUGGUGAAGCUUUUGUGGUGGGGGAAGCUUUUGUGGGUGAGGCUUUUGUGGUGGGUAAAGCUUUUGUUGGUGAAGCUUUUGUGGGUAAAGCUUUUGUGGUGGGAGAAGCUUUUGUGGGUGAAGCUUUUGUUGGUGAAGCUUUUAUAAGUGAAGCUUUUGUGGUGGGUGAAGCUUUUGUGGGUGAAGCUUUUAUUGGUGAAGCUUUUGUAGGUGAAGUUAUUAUGGGUGAAGCUUUUUAGAAUUUGUAGUUGUCCUCCAUUGAUGAAGCUUUUGUUGGGGAAGCUUUUGUGGUGAAGUUUUGUUGGGUACCACGAAUUGAUUCUGCUUCACACUAUCUUGAUCAAGAUAGUGUGAAGCUUUUGAGAAUUUGUAGCUGUCCUCCAUUGAUGAAGCUUUGUUGAAUUUCCCUUUUUUUUUGGGAAACUAGAAAUUUGAAAUGUGGGAGAGACAACAUAUAGAAAUUUUGCUUCCACACUGUUGAGCAAGAGAUUUUGAUGGAAGCCACACCUUGUAGUAGUCGAAGGUUUGGAUGAACCAUAUAAAUUGAAUUUGCUUCGAACAGUCAUGAAUUUGCUUCGAAGGUUUGAGAAUUGUAGUUGCCCUCCAUUGAUGAAGCAUUUGUUAGCGCCAUAAAUUGGUUUUACUUCACACUGUCUUGAUCAAGAGUGUGUGAAGCUUUUGAGAAUUGUGGUUGAACUCCUUUGAUGAAGCUUUUGUUGGCACCAUAAAUUGGUUUUGCUUCACAUUAUCUUGAUCAAGAGUGUGUGAAGCUUUUGAGAAUUGUGGUUACCCUCAAUUGAUGAAGCUCUUGUUGAUAACAUAAAUUGGUUUUGCUUCACACCGUCUUGAUCAAGAGUGUGAAGCUUUUGAGAAUUGUGGUUGAACUCCUUUGAUGAAGCUCUUGUUGGCACCAUAAAUUGGUUUUGCUUCACACUGUCUUGAUCAAUAGUGUGUAAAGCUUUUGAGAAUUAUGGUUGAACUCCUUUGAUGAAGCUUUUGUUGGCACCAUAAAUUGGUUUUGCUUCACACUGUCUUGAUCAAGAGUGUGUGAAGCUUUUGAGAAUUGUGGUUGCCCUCCAUUGAUGAAGCUCUUGUUGGCACCAUAAAUUGGUUUUGCUUCACACUGUCUUGAUCAAGAGUGUGUGAGGCUUUCUACGAGUUGUAGUGUUUGCAUUGUUACAAAGGGGAAAUGUCUGAAGCAGAUGCAAGAGGGCUGAAUAGCUUGAUCUUCGUAUGCCAUGCACUGAAGUUGUUGUUGGUUUGCAAUAAGACUUUGUUGGUGACUAUAACUCUUGUUGGGCAUAAGUGUUCCCCUAGUUGAGUUGUCAAGCUUGAGGGUUUUUGAUUAUUUGUGAAUGCUAGGAGUUCACAUGUAUAAGUUGUACCACCCGUCUUCUGGUAGGUGGAAUGAAUGGUGAGUUGCUUUCAUCAUUUGGUUGGUGGUACGAAGGUGAGUUCCUUCAUCACCUUUCAUGACAUUUCAUCACCUGGUUGGUGGCACGAGGAUGAGUUCCUUCUUCACCUGGUUGGUGGCAUGAAUGAGAGUGCGGGUUGUACAUUUCAUCACCUGGUUGGUGGCAUGAAGAUGAGUUUCUUCUUCACCUGGUUGGUGACAUGAGUGGAAAGUUGCCAAAUGAUAUUAGAGUAUGGGUUGUACAUUUCAUCACCUGGUUGGUGGCAUAAAGGAGAGUACGGGUUGUACAUUUCAUCACCUGGUUGGUGGCAUGAAGAUGAGUUUCUUCUUCACAUUUCAUCACCUGGUUGGUGAGAAUAAGGGUAAGGUGUCGAGGCACAUUGUAGCAAGUGUCAAAGACACAAAGUAUGUUGAACCCUUUUGAAGCAUAAUUGGCUUAUGUAUGGAUGUGUUGGAAUGUAUGAUGUUUAUGUAUGAAUGUGUUGGAAUGUAUGAUGUAUAUGUUGAUUGAUCUGAGUGAUGCUUAUGAAUGUUUUGCUAUGCAUAAAGGGAUCCAUGCUUUUGAUAUGUGAACCAUGUUGGUUGUAGCAUUUAGUAUCACAUACUUUGUGUCAAAGUACGCAUGUUGAAGCUCUGAGUUGGAGUAUAAGGGUAGGUCAGCGUAAACCAAGUGUUCCAGUGCUAGGAACGCAAAAGACUCAGAAGAAGUUGUCUGAAUUCCCUCUUCUUUAAAUAUUUACCGAAUGGCUUGUGUGACAAAAGAUCUCAAGCGGUUGAGAGUCAAAACAUUUGUAAUGUGUAUGCCUUCUUAUAAUAACAUUUCCUUCAGUACCUAAUCCUCCACUUUGAAAGAGUGAGGCUUGGCCCCAUAGUUAUAAUAGUCGAUGGUACGUUCACCCCUGGUUGUCUUGAUACGAACUUUUAUCCUUCUUGUUAUAAUGGGCUUGCUGAGAGUAAAAAUCUUUCCUCUUACCAAGAGACAGAUACGUUUGGUGAUUUAGCGAGUAGCUAAAUGAGGCAGAAGAUGAUGUAAUGGGUGUCUGAAUGGCCAAUUUCUCCUCACUUGGUAGAACUUGACUUCCACUUCCCACUUGUUGAUAGGGGUUAAUCAUAUGAGGGUUCCCUUGGUAUGUCCUUGCUUCGGUGGAAGCGUUGUUGUAAGCAUGUGCCAUCACUUCAGAGUAAGUCUUCCAAGUGUUGGCAUUGAUCAUGUACUUGAAGAAACAAUCACGUAGGCCUGCCGUGAAGGCCUUGAGGGCGGUCUUGUCAUCUGCCUCAGCGCAGCGAGAAUACUCAUGGCUGAAGCAACCGGCAUACUCUCGUAGUGACUCGUCCGGCUUCUGGCGAAUAGUGUACAAGUCAUCUGCAUAAUGUAAAUGAUCGGUUUGGAAGAUGUGUUGAGAGACAAAUAAUUUCCUCAGUUCCUCAAAUGAGUAUACUAUCUCAGGUGGAAGACGGCAAUACUAGUUUCGAGCUCCGCCAGAGAGGGUGGAGGGGAAGAGAAGACAUCGCUCUUCAUCAGUGUGCAUCCGAUAUGCCAUGGUGGACUCAAAGAGGUUAAGGUGUUCAAUUGGGUCCUCAUUUCCAGUAUAGAGUUGUAAACCAAGCUUUUGUUUUGUCUUCGCUUGAAGGGGGUGUCAAUGAUCCUUUUUGUGAGAGAGCCAGGCCUAGGUUGGUUCCAGUCCGGUAUCUCGGCCUGACUUUCGGCCUACAACUUUUUUACUUCUUCAAGGAGCUGUAGGAUAAGAGGGUCCUGAGUGGAGUCAUGUACCACUGGAAUUUUCUUUCGUAAGUCUCCAUCGCCUCUUGGAAGUAGGAAAGUUUGAGCAAGGGCGUGUGGUUUAUUCUUGGACUCGCUGUACUAACUUCUAGGGCGAGUCUGUCGGAAUACCUCAGAGUCCCAUGUACCUUCAUGUUCCUUUGGGACAUGUUGUUCCUUCCCUAGAUUGGCAGCUGGCCUGGGUCAUGGAAGGGGACCGAGCCUUCCAGAAACCCUUGGGUCAUUGAUCUUCGAGCAUAUGUGGAGGGGAUUCUCUCGACGUUGUUUUAGGAAGUCUCGGCAGUCAUGAUAAACGGCUUUCGAUCCUUCCAACCCUUCUGCAAGGAGGUGUCUUCCUCCACUUCUUCUGCUUCGGGUCGAAGCAUCUGGGUUGAGAGAAGUCUCAUGUUGAUCAAUGUUUUGAUGAUUAGCUCGCUCCUCAUCAGGGAUACCCAUGUCGAAAGGAGGUGACCCUCAGAGUUAGGGGGCACCCAGAUAAUGGUUGAUGUCCACAGGGGCAACGAGCUCGCGUGUUUGAGUACGCCUAGUUUCGUGGAGUGUCUCAAAGAGCUUCUCAUACUGCUCCUGGAGGACCUCAUUUUUCAUUGCUAUCUUGUUGUUCUGAGCUUCUAGUCAUCGACUAUAGCUUGAAGAGUAAUCUUCUUUCCUUCAUUCUUUCGUUACUUCGUACUAGGUGCAAGAGGGGUGUCAUUCUGUGUGUUGUGGCUUCCUUCAUCCCCAUGUUGGUGAGGGAUGCCUGGUCAAAAAAGAGUGUAUGAAUGGUGGAAACCAGCUUGGCAAAGCUGAAGAGUGGGAAUCAGUGUUGGUUCCACAGACGGCGCCAAAUGUUGAUGCACAAAAUUAGUGGGGACUUUGGUACAACAUAAAGUGUUAAGUUUGUGACCUUCGCUAGAUUGCUCCGGUCACUAGUGUGGAUAAGUAUGUAAAUGGAUAGAGACAGGGAAGCAAACACAAGAUGUAUGUGGUUUACCCAGAUUGGCUACGUCCACGGAGUAGAGGAGUUCUCAUUAAUUGUGAAGGGUUUACACAAGUACAUAUGUUCAAGCUCUCAUUUAGUGAGUACUAGUGAAUGAUUUAGUACAAAUGACAUUAGGAAAUAUUGUGGGAGAAUGAUCUCCUUUUAUAGAAGAGAGUUUCUAGCUUUGUUUUAACAUUAACACGUGUUUUGUUGUGAUUGGCUUCUGAUUUUGACACGUGUCGCGUUAUGAUUGGCUUCUGAUGUCGACACGUGUCGCGUUGUGAUUGGCCUCUUGGUUGGAGGGAAACUUUUCUGGGUCCUUGACGGUAUAACAUUGACCGGUGCUUAGUAGUUUCGAGAUUGGUCAAGUAUGGUACAAACAAUUUUAAUCGUCACCCAAUGGAAUUGCUAAAAUCUAGGUACAAUCCUAAGGUUUAUCCAUUCACCUUCGUGGAUAGGUUUGCGGUUCUCCUAGAUAAAGUGUUUGGUUGGGUAAAUUCCUAAUCGGUAAGCUUUUGUAACUAAGUUUUCUCUGUGAUGUAGGACUUGUUUGAAAAGAUGCAAGGAAACUGGCGUUGUAAGAGAUAGUGGAUAGAUGGUGUACUUCACUUCACCAUUUGGUGAUAUCCCAAAUAAAAUUUUUGAGAAAUGAUGCAGAAGAUGUACGUCUUCGAAAUGCACCAUACUACUCCCUUUCAUUUUGCCACGUACAAAGGCCUUCACAAUUUUCUAUACACUCAAAUCGCUCUUAUGGCGAAAAUUAACUCGUGCUUUAACUGUAAUGUUUACCAGGUAGCAGCCACAAGGAUGAGUGGUAGAGAAAGUUCUGGUUACCUAUAUGGGUAAAACAUUUAACACAACUAUGAGUUUAAACUAUCCUCCAAAAAGGCUUGCUCCUAGGUGUCUACGAUUUAGUUUCUUUGGCUCAAGUAGUCACUGCUCAAUCUAUCAGUCACGUCGCUAAUUAACACAUUUAUGAUACUUUUGAUAUUUUUGAUAUUGUUCUUUACCUUGAAACUAUCAACUAGCAUUAUGGCAUAAAGGUAUCACUCCCAUAUACUAGUACCUGUGUCAAUUAGUAGCACCACCGUAGGUUGAUUACAGGUUAAAGCCCGCUCGGGUGGAUGGUUUCAGAUGGUUGGUAACGAUUUGGUCCUAUGAGUUGGUUUGGUUGAUUCUAGGGGAAAUUGAUUACUGCUUUUGGGAUUUUUGCUACCUGAAGGUAUAACAACUUAUACUCACCGGCCUAUACUCAUCGAAAUGACGAGUACAACGUCGAAAGGAAAUCUGAGACUAGUGUUGGUUGGAAUCUCCUAAGAUCGGAAAAGAAAAUUUGCUAAUAAUCUACUUUAGAACGGACUUAAUCGGAAGUCGAUCUUCCUCCCAAAGAUCCGGAAUGAUCAUUAGUGCGUUUGAAAAGAUUAGUGUUAUCGGGGACCCAAAGUGAUUGUCCCCUAGAUUUUCUUUCGUCAAGUGCUACCACCUUAGCACCACAUUGUCACUCAAGACAUUUCUGAAAUUUUCGACGAAGUAAACUUCGUAGGAAUUCGAAUAGGUGGUACAUUAGCGGGUACUGCCAAGGAAUCAAAACUAUUCUUGGUUCCUAACUUGGAAUGGUUGGUAGCAAUGACGAAAUGGUAGUGGGAUUGAUUGGUAGAUAAAUACCCCGUGAUGCACAACUAUCGAUAUAGUAGCCCUGCUUCAAGGCCAUCAACUUGUCUCAUAUUGGGAAUUUCUUUGGCAGGAAAGUUCUUCAUUUAAGUCUAGAGGUGUCUGCCAAAAUGAUGUUCUAGCAUGUUGAUAAGUCAUCUAUAACGUCUAAAACGUUGGAAAAGUUAACACAUUUUUCGUAUUCGACGAGGUGGCAAGAUUCAACACUUAGGUUCAAGAACCAAGAAUGCUUACAUCACGCGUGUGAUGAGCGCAAUACUACCCAACUUAUGCUCUAAUACCAAACUGACACACCCCAACUUGGAAUGUCCACUUGGAUUAUAAAUCGAGCUGUGUUGGCCGACACCUGGAAGGUGACGAAGCCAUAAAGUGUAUUGAUGUGGAAAAUGUGAAUAAAUUUAAACCUAAAAGUCCUAAAUAUAAGAGUGCACUGGUGAGCGGGAAUGAAGCCAUUUCACAAGUGAUGACAUAGCAUAAGUGAAGUAUAGUAAGGUAGGAUAAGGAUUAUACCAUCAUAGGUAGCCAUUUAUACUUGGAUUUGCCAAAAAUCCUUGUCGAUAAGAAAGCUUAGCUACUAAAACCAAUAGGGGCGAAAAACAAGGGUAAGUGGGCCUGAAAAUAAAGUUUUAUAAAAAAAAACCUUUCUAAAAACAUUGUAACCCCUCAUCGUAACACAAGUAUAGUUUCUAAAAUAUACUUACUAUGUAUAGUAUAAAAAUACCUACCGUAGCCUGCAAAAUCUCAAAAAUUCAUUACGGCACAAUAUCUCGUAACUAAGGGCGGGACAUCCAAAAUCACAAAAUCUCAACAAUAAUAUAAGUAAAAUUAGGUGCUCAUCAAUCUACGCUAGCACAUAAGUCGGAGUCGCCUAAUGCAACCUGUACCACUAAACUGAUGCUCAUCAAUCUAUGCUAGCACAGGAGUGGAGUCACCUAAUGCAACCUAUACGAUAGGACUUGGUGUAAUCAUAAUAUACGUUCUAGUACUACAAUCACGUGAAGACUGGCGUUAUUCGCAGUCACUUAUGAGUUGGAGUUUUUCACCAAACUUCAACUAAAUUUCUUCUGAUUUUGGGUGGAAAUGGUAGAGGGGAGGUUGUGGAAGAGGUUGCAAGUGGUGGAGUGACAUGGUUCGCCGGAAAAACCGACGAAAACCAUUGGAGAAGACAAGCAAAACCAGGUCGGUCAUCAAAGAGAAACGGCCCGCAGAUCCCGUGCCUUCUCUCUCCCUUAUUUCCCCUCCUUUCUUAUGUUUUUGAUUCGCUAGCUUUCUCUCUCUCCUCUCCCGAUUUGGUCAACAUCCUUCUCUCACUCCCUCUCAUUCGAUUGGGCAGCAGCCCCCUCAUUCCUCUCUUUUAUCCCUUCUUUCCCCCGUCCGUUCUUCUUCUUUCCCUCAUUUUUCGAUCAACUAAUAUUAAAAUAAUAAUAUAAAAAUUAUGAGAAAUAUAUAAAUAAUAAAUAGUAAUCCUUACAAAAGUACUUUUCGGAUUUGUAGUUUCGUAAAAUUUUAAUUGUAGCUUCGAUUUCGAUUCCGAUUCCGCUUGCGCCUUGCGUUCGUAUCGUUGAUUAAAAAAUAUGCCAAAAAAGAUUCCAUACAUCUCACUAUACAUUGGUCAAUGAAAGUCAAUACCCUCACCUCUAUGACAUUUUUCAUAAAUUCACAUUUUUAAAAUUUAUAAAAUCGUAGAACUAAGAACGGGUUGUCACAUAUAUAAUGGGUUGUUGAUGAUUGAAUUCUUAUUUAAGUAUUGAUUAACGUGUUUAUUUCCUUGAUGUCACAUCAUAUGAUUUACAAAUUUGGUUUAAAAAAUUGGUCUACCUAGCAUUACUCUUGAUUGUCUAUUAAACCUCAGUAUUGCACCUGGAUCGUGAUUAGAGGUUAUUGAUGAUCAAUCAAAUUAAUCUCUUAAUAAGGUGCAUGCAUAGGUUUUAAUUUAUUGAUAAGAGUUCGUUAAAAUGUAGAUCGUCCUUGGGUGUUUCUCUAUAACUAAUAUGACAUGGCAUACCCAAAAAUGAAAGCACAGGAGAGUCCCAUUAAACAAAACCAAAAAGAAGAAGUGCCACGAUUUGCAACAGCGACUGCACGAGCGACUUGAUUAUCUUUCUUAUAAAUAAUGUUCCAGAAAUUUUUACCUAAUGCUGCCCAUUUCCUGUUCAAGCAUUAGACGGCUAGUCACCUUCCGAUUAAUUGUUAAACAUUUGAAAAUUAAGAAAUGAUGCUUAUACAUGCUUAAGUUGCACUCUCAUUUCAACAAAAAAUAGAUGACUUUUUUUUUGUAUUUUAUUUUUCAUUAAAUUGUACGAAGUUUGUUGAAUAUUUGGAUGAACACUCAUUAUAUGUGCUUGGCUUUCAUGCAUUUCGACAAAAAAUAGUUUAAUUUCUUUUUUCAUUAAAAGAAAUCAAACUAUUUUAUACUGGGAAAUGCACUUGGCUUCCAUGCAUUUCACGUUGGUUAAGCUCUUAUCGCUGUUUAAGCUCCUACAAGUUGAGUAUUCUUUUUCAAACAAAGUUUACGUACAAGUUUUUGCUAAAAAUAAGUCAAAUAACUAUAAAAAAACGAAAUUAAGUUUUGUUUUAAAAAGAAAACGAUACAGAUCUUUAAAAGAUCGUUGACAUAAUACUAGAUAUGAUUAUUUGACAAUGGCACAAUGCAAUAUUACAAUUUACGAGGAGGUAUUUGUCAAAUUUUCCUCCUCCCUCCCUAAACUUGUAGGGAGAUGUCAAUUUCUCCUUAAUUUUAAUUUUAACCAAUUACUCUCCCUAAACUUUAGUUUUAGCCGAUUGUGCCCCUAUACUUUUAUAAAUGGUCUAUUUCCCUAUAAGAAUAUAUUGUUUUUUCUUCUUCCCUUCCGUUAGUUCACUCCAUAUAUUUUUUGUUUGAAGUUUAGGGUUUAGGAGGGAAAUUACCAAUUAUAAAAGUUCAAAGGAUAAUCGGUUAUAAUUAAAGUUCAGGGGAAUUGUCCAAUUGUAACAAUUCAGAGAGAUAAUUGUCUAAAAUUAAAGUUUUGAAAGGAAAGUGGGAGCUCCUUAUAAGUUUUUUUUUUUGGGGGGGUGGGGUGGGGUGGUUGGGGAGGGGGGUGGGGUGGUUGGGGGGACCUCAUUUACAAGAAGAGAAUUUGAGUUUGAAUGGUGGGUGGGUAGACUGUCCUAGCCAACUAUGACCUAGCUCCAUAUGUAUUUUGAUAUGAUUUACAUGUGAAAUUUUGUUCCUGGAUUUCACUGUUAUAAUCUACGUAUUUGUAUUAUUGAGAUUUUAUAUUAUUUAUCGAGAAUUUAUAUUUAUUUAUUUGAAUUUAGAUUUCAAUUAAACUAGUUACGAAGUUUGAAGUUUGGAAAUUAAUUAUUUAAAAUCCGUAGACCUUUGGAGGUCACAAUUUAUAUUUUCAAUUAGAUCUCGAAACCACAAACGUAUAGGCAAAAGUCGUUUGCGAGUCCGAAUUAUAACGGUAUAGUUACAGACAUUUGAAGUUGUUCUACUAAACUAUAGUUUUUAAAUGAGAUAAACCCCCACCAUGUGGGAGUUUAAGGGAGCCAAUUAUAAGUAAGGAAGGGAGCCAAUCAGAAAAGAAGAGGGGAAAAAGAAGGACCAAUGAGAAAAAAUGAGGUGAAGAAAAAGAAUCAGAAACUGGGGGGAAAAAAGGGUUGCCCAAUCGGGGGAGAAUGAAUAGAUAGAGAGACCAAUGAGAUGAGGGAAAAAGGAAAGGAAAGGAGGGAGGUGCAGAGCACCCAACUCGGGCCCCCGCAACCCACACCCAACCCGUUACCAAUUGGAGACCCCGUACCCCCGAGGCUUUUCCGACGCCAAUUCCGGCGUUAUUCCAAUGAGUUGUGGUGGGGAACCACUUGGAAACAACUUGGCAUCACUCUCUCCUUCAUAUCCAUCCAAGAAUCGAAGACAUUAGUCUCGAUUUUGUGACAACCGCACCCAUGGGUGCGAGGGAACUUUGAUGGAAAGCCACCAUUUCUGAAGUGUUUCUCUUCAAUUGUUACCACCUUUGACAUCAUCUUGAGGCCAGAAACAAACCCCAAACAAGUUUGGGGGCGGUGGAGCACCGGAGAAGACGAAUUGAAAUGCACUUAUUUCUAGGGUUUUGGUAGGUUUUAGUAGAAUUGGAGAUUUUCCUGGCUAAAUUGGACUUGGCCACAUGUAUAAAGUUUGCUCUACUCUUAGAGAUCUUCGUUUCUAUAAUUUUUGAUAAUUUUUAAAAAUAGUUGAAUUUUUCCGGCAAGUCGGGGCAGCCGACAGCCACCCGCGGCGGCGUGUGCGGCAGCGGCCUGGCUAGUGGGCCGAUGAUGUCCUUUUAAGUUCAAAUAGAUGCCUUGAUUUCAUAAUUGAUAUCCGUGUGACGUAAUUUGAUUGUCUGGACUUAGUUUCAUUACGAUACCUUACUUAGUCAAAUUAUGAAUCAACGAUUCGACCAUUGGAUCGUCACCAAACCUUAAUGCGUGAUAGAACAUAAUAUUUUUGGAUCAUAGAAACUUACAGAUCGGGAAUCCGACUUACGGAUCUUCCCUAAUUGGAUUUCUAAAUUUGUAAAAUAAAUUGUUGACCGCCACUUAAUUCUAGUAAUUGACGGAGAUCCGACAGUCGGAUCGCGAUGGGAUUUUAGUAUGUUGUUCUAGAAGCAUAAUGUGGAAUUUGGGAAGUUAUGGAUUAGAAAUCGAUGUGCGGAUCAUCAAGAUCAAAUUACGUAGAGUUGUGGACCCUAUUGUUGACCGAGAGUUGAUUUGUGGUCUACAUGUCUCGAAACGUUAUAAAUAAUAAAAUUAGUACUACGGGACUAAUUGAAGUCUAGUGGGCCUAUAUUGGUUAGAUAGUGACUUGAAUACAUGAGAUAUGAUUAUUAUCUUAAUUUCUUAUAUUAGUAUCAUUUGUGAAUAUGAAUUGGUCUUAUCAAUAUGAUUCUAUUAAAAUGUGAUUUUAUAUAUUUAGCCAUAGACCUAUGCUUAUUAAAUAGGAUUUGGCUUGUGUACUGAUGAUGUUUGUGAUAUAUAUGUGUUUAAUUAUCUAUGUAAUAAUGUGAUUGAUGAAUGUUAUGACAAUUAUGGGAUCUAAAUAUUGUUUGAUAAUUAUUUGGAUAUGAUUGCCAACUGAAUACCUAUUUGAACUUGGCAUUACUACCUAGCAUGAGAUGGAGAUGAAAGUCAGGAGAUGAGUUAGGUACUUUAUUAGAUUUUAGUAGAAAUAAUAAUAAAGGGAAUUCCUUGUGUUGUGCUCCAUAUGACUAGAUGCUGGUUGAUAUGGGGAAUCGAUAGCAUGUAUGAGUAUAAUUAUGUAUAAUGUGUGAUGAUGAGAUUGCACCAUGUAGUAGUGGUACAUGGAUGGUCAUGCUUGGUAUAUCCGCGAUGGGGGACCAUACACAUGCUAUGAGUGAUCAUGCUUGGUAUAUCCGCGAUGGGUGAUCACUACCUAGAGCUAUAUGAUAUAGUCCUACUUGGUAUAUCCGCGAUGGGGGACUGUUAUGGGUGAUCAUGAUUGGUGUAUCAGCGAUGGGUGGUCACUACCUAGAGCUAGGAUGUGGUCCUGCUUGGUAUAUCCGCGAUGGGGGACCAUAUGUAUUCAGGAGUGAUCAUGCUUGCUAUAUCCGCGAUGGGUGAUCACUGCCUGCACGAUGAGAUUAUGCCUAUGGUUCUGCUUGGUAUAUCCGCGAUGGAGGACCAUACGCAUUCUAGAGGUGAUGAUGAUAGUUGUACUUGGUACAUUUGAUAGGCAAUCAUAUUUAGUUUGGUUCAGUUGAGUGGUCCAGAAUCCGAGGUUGUUGAAUUUCGUGGAGUAGUCUAAAAACCCAUUAUUUGGAGAAGUAGGCUUGGCCUAACUGCGUCACUCUAGCUUUAGUUUUAUAUAUAUUUGUGUCAAUGGUUUCGAGAAUCUUGUGAAUUGAAUUAGAAAAGAUGUUGGACGUCUGAGUGACUCUUUCGGAAUUUUCUACGAUUCGAUUAUGAUGUCAUAAGGUAUGAAUUUAAAAGGUAUGGAAAUAAUUGUUAUUACUUUGAUCAAAUUAAUUAAUUAAUGCGGCUAGAGAAUGAUUUUGUGUUUCGUCGGUUCUUAAAUAUGAUGUAUGUUGUGAAUUGCGAUAUCAUGAUGAGACAUAAUGAUUUAUAAGUUGGAUGGGAGAGAAAUCAUGUUUUCAUGGGAGUUGGUUAUGUAGCCUGAGUCCAGGAAUUACAUGUUGUUAGUUUAUAAUAAAUGAUUGAGGAAUGCUAUGCUUUUCUGCUUGAACUUAGUGGAAUAAACAUCUGAUUUGUGAUAAGUGAAUUACGAAUGGCUUGAUCCCUAUUGAGGGUUCGUAGGUAGUCUAACGAGGAGGUUAGAUGCAGCCAUAAAGUAAACGAAAAAUUACUUUGCAAUUUGAUUCUCGAGUUGUGAUUUGCCAUAUCCCGGAGAUGGGGUACGUGAGAUAUACGAGUAUUUGGUGACGUCACAUGUCGAUUCUGGACGUAUGUCGGGAUCGGGGCUUGACAUUACGUAUAUAAGAUUGCACAACAAUCUAAUCACUCAUUUAUCUUAUUGAUGAUUUAUUCAUGUUAACCCUAUGCCCAUUUAGGCCUACCCAACUGCAUAAGCCCAAGGAAAUAUCAAGAAGCCUAAGGCCAAAGGGUUCAAAGAGGGCUGACCAGGGUACUUAGGCUGACCAAGACAAAAGAAGAACUACCCGAUUGCGUGGAACACAUGGGCAAGCUAAUAGCUCUAUGGCACAAGUCUCUAAGGGCAGAACAAUUCAAGUGCCAAUUAGACCAUACAACGACUUGUAGUUGACAACAAAGGCCUAUGAUGAGACAUAAGCGUAGCGGGACAGUGCUCGGCAAGGCUAGGCAGAGUAACCGAGGUCCGAGCGGGAUGCUUGAGACGCCUGAACCUUAAAAGGUGCGUCGCCCCGACUACAAAAAUGUCACUUCACUGACAAGGGUCUGGCCGAAUAGGUAGAAUUAGAAAGUCAAUAAGCUAGUGCAAGUGGUUAACACAUGAAAUGCCGAUUUGAGAGGCCCAAAGAGGGAGAGGCCAAAAUAAAGGGGUAAAGACCUCCAAUAUCGAGGUCGGAUGAAUCGGAGAGAAUAGAGUGAAUGUAUCAACCAAGCGCUACUUAGCCUUGAAAUCAAUAUAUUGAGAGCAACACGGUGGAUGUAGCCCAAUUUUGAUAGGUGAACCACUUGCAUCUUUGUAUCCAUUUAAUUUCAGCCCAUCUCCUAAUCCCAUCUACAAUCAUUUAAUUAAAUUUGUUAACCUUACAAUUUUGAGCGAUAUUACCAACACUAAGGGGAGGGAAGUAGGCUAAGCCUCACAAUGAGCUAACUAUGUGGUUCAAAUUCGCAUUUGGCGAGAAUUGAACCUAAAACCUUUCACUUAUAAGUGAAUAGAAAUACCACUAGACCGUAGUACUAAGGGGCUAAAAUUCAACAAUAUUAAUCCUCAAAACUUGGAUUAGAAAUGAAGCCCGCCCUUUCUAAAAGUAAAAGCCACCUUUUUCCAUCUCAACACGACAAAGCCAUAUUUUCAGUUAACGUGAAAGCAAUUCCUCUCCUAACCAAUUCCAUCUCUUAUAUUUCUCUAUAAAUACACACCAAAUCUCCCUAUCACAAAAACCACAAAUUACGACACAAUUCACAAAUAUCAUUUCUAUAAACUCCGUCAAAACAUACUUUAAUUCGAAAAAUGGGGGGUUCUACUAGCUCUUCCUCUAAAUCCAAGACAACCACAACCAAAAACAAAAGCAUCAAAGACAGAACAUUAACAUGCGCAGGCAACCUCAUCAAGCUCCUCCCAACCGGCACGGUCUUCUUGUUCCAGUUCCUCAACCCUGUCUUGACCAACAACGGCAAAUGCACCGCUGUCAACAAAUAUCUAAGCGCCAUUCUCAUCGGUGUUUGCGGCUUCUCCUGCUGUUUUUCUUCCUUCACAGACAGUUACACAGGCAGUGAUGGACAAACACACUAUGGGGUGGUAACAAGCAAGGGGCUUUGGCCCUCGACAAGUUCCAACUCUGUGGACUUGUCUGCUUACAAGCUUAGGUUUGGGGACUUUGUGCAUGCCUUCUUUUCCUUGAUUGUGUUUGCAGUUGUGUCACUUUUGGAUGCCAACACUGUCAGGUGCUAUUAUCCAGGGUUUGAGUCCACCGAGAAGAUUUUGCUACAGGUGUUGCCUCCGGUUAUAGGUACAAUUGCCGGAACUGUUUUCUCUGUGUUCCCUAAUAAACGCCAUGGAAUUGGGUACCCGUCUUCAAGUUCUGAUUCUUCACAGGAUUCGGAGUCGGCAGCUUCCUAAGCUCUUGAACUAUGACUUGAUUCUCAAGACUCAAAGUGGUAAAUAUAACUAAUAAACGCCAUGGAAUUGGGUACCCGUCGUCAAGUUCUGAUUCGUCACAGGAUUAGGAGUCGGCGGCUUCCGAAGCUCUUGAACUAUGACUUGAUCCACAAGACUCAAGUGGUAAAUAUAGCAAAAGUGUGUGCUCACGCAAGUUUGUGGUUUUCAUAUUGUUUGUUUAGUAGUUUGCCUAAGUUUGAUUAAUCCUUUUUCCUUCUCUCUUUGGAAUGAAUGUAACAUGUUUUUACGGUGUGCUAAACUUUCAAUUUAUAAAUUAAAACUUGAUCUUAAUAGGAAAGGAACAAUCUUUUAUACCGUUGGAUAAAAUUCGGGCGUAAAAAUUAACGACAAAAAUGCAAAACUGACUGAUAAGAUCGACAAGUGAAAAGUAAAACAAUUAUGUAGAACUUUCUUGCAUGAACCAAGGAAACCUGGUAAUAGUUUCCGUCUUUCGUCAUACUAAUUGAAACAAAAUCAAUGCCACUAACAAUAUAAUCUAUGAAACUGGAUCUUAUGCACGCUGCCGAUGAUACAUAAAACUCAUAAACUGUUCCUUCUUUUUCGUUUACAACGGUUGAGGUGUGUACUACCAAUCUAAACGAUUUUCAGCUUAUAUGAUGUCAAAGAUAUUAUAUUCUUACAUCAGCAAACAAUCCAUCUAAAAGGUUGGAAGAUGAAUUGUCAUUUCCACUCUCAUCAAAGAAACCAUUAGCAGCAAAUUCUUUUCUGCAUUUUCGCUCUUCAAUGACAGAAUCUGCUGUUUCUGCACAAAACUUCGUCUUGUCUGCUUUAACGGUUUCUCUGCCACAAUAAACUUGUUCCCUUCACGAGUCCUCUCAGGCCCAAACUGAAGAUAAACGUGGGUGGGAAAUUUCAUAAGUUGAACACAAGAAGAAUCAUAAAAGUAGUGUAAAAUUAUACCUACAUGUGGUUGACGUAGUUCAAAAGGAAAGAUUUUCUUAUUCUGAUCGGUGUUGGUUAUCAAACGUAAACUAGUUUACUUUCUAUUAAACCGUGAAAUAAUCAAGUUAUAAAGAAAGGUAUGAUUAUCUUGUGCACUACUAACUCUAAGACUGGUAAGUUGAGUCAAAGUUCAAACAAUUUUGGUCCCUAAGAAAAGUUAUCUUAUAGUCUCAUCUUGUUUAGCUAGGUCUUAAAACUAAAGGUCUACCUAGAUGUAGAAAAUUACACCUGCAUGUGGUUGGCAUAGUUCAAAAGGAAAGAUUUUCUUAUUCUGAUUGGGUGUCGAUUAUCAAACGUAAGCUCACUUUCUAUUCAACGGUGAAAUAAUCAAGUGAGAAAGAAAGGAAGAAUUAUCUUGUAAACUACUAAGACUGAUACAGUAGUUUCGGUCUGUUAACGCAAGGUCCUUUCUAACCUCAAGGGGCCCAAAGAAACACCAGCCCAAAGUAGCACAGCCCCAAAGGAUGGCCAAGCCCAAUGAGGCUGGGAAGACGAUCCAGAGCACUAUGGGAGUCAACACACGACAGUCCAGAUUGCCUAUCAGCAACUAGGCUGAGCGCCUAGUAAUUUCCCUAAAAAGUGCAAUUUGGCGCGAAGUGCAAACUGACAAGUUCUGACUAGAGAAUCGCACAAGUUCCUAGGAAUAGAGGGGCAAGCCUGCUCAGACAUCAACUCUAUGACACGUGGCAGCCAUCCGAGGGAAUAGAAACCUAUGAAACGACAUAUAGGGCGCUGCGUGCGGGUUUCUACCACCUCCAAACCCAAACAUGGUGCUCGGCUUCCGUUGUCCCAAGAAAGUAUGCAAGUGGACCUGCACAAAUGUCACUUUGUCACUACGUGUCGAGCAAAGGGCAGAUGAACAGCUAGCAAGUCAAAUCUAUGUAAUCGACGCAUUAAAUGCAAAGGAAAAAAGAGGUUUGAGCAAGGAAACUGAAGGCUCAUUGAGGGCCUAUAAAAGGACAUGAUACUAUAUAUUCUGAUAUGAUUUCGUUGACAAUGCAAUAUUCUAAUUUACAAAAAAGAGAAUUGGAGUUUGAAUAGAAAUAGAUGGGAAGACUGUCAUGACCAAUUGAACUGGCUCCAUAUGUAUCUUGAUAUGAUUUAUGUAUAUAAGAUGCACAACAAUCUCAAUUUUUUCUUGUUUAAGUCCCUUUAUUCAAUAUUCUUUAAGGAUACGUAUCCUCAAUAUUGGGAGUACAGAAAUUCAACAACAUUAAUUUUCAAAACUUGGAUUAGAAAUGAAGCGCAUCCUUUCUUAAAAUAAAAGGUAGUGCUAUUUAUACAUUUCUUUUUACUUCUUAUUUACUUUUGUUAAUUUUUGUCCAUUGAUCUUCUUCAAUUGGCCAAAAAUUGAAAAUGUGAGUGAGAAGUAAAAAUAGGUCUACGAUAGCACCACCCAAAUAGAAGCCACCUUUCCAUCUCAACACGACAACGCCAUGUUUUCUGUCAACGUGAAAGCAAUUCCACUCCAAGUCAAUUCCCUCUGUUAUAUCUCUAUAUAAAUACACACCAAAUCUCUCUCACAAAAACCACAAUUUACAACACUUUAAUUCUGAAAAAAUGGGGGGUUCUACUAGCUCUUCCUCUAAAUCCAAGACAACCACCACCAAAAACAAAAGCGUUCACAACAGAACAUUAACAUACGCAGGCAACCUCAUCAAGCUCCUCCCAACCGGUAGUCUUCUUGUUCCAGUUCCUCAACCCUGUGUUGACCAACAACGGCAACUGCACCGCUGUCAACAAAUACCUAGGCGCCAUUCUCAUCGCUGUUUCCGGCUUCUCCUGCUGCUUUGCUUCCUUCACAGACAAGGCAGUGAUGGACAAACACACUAUGGGGUGGCAACAAGCAAGGGGCUUUGUCCCUCAACAAGUUCCAACUCUGUGGACUUGUCUGCUUACAAGCUUAGGUUUGGGGACUUUGUGCAUGCCUUCUUUUCCUUGAUUGUGUUUGCAGUUGUGUCACUUUUGGACGCCAACACUGUCAGGUACUAUUAUCCAGGGUUUGAGUCCACUGAGAAGAUUUUGCUACAGGAGUUGCCUCAGGUUAUCGGUACAAUUGCUGGAACUGUUUUCGCUGUGUUCCCUAAUAAACGCCAUGGAAUUGGGUACCCUUCGUCUAGUCCUGAUUCUUCACAGGAUUCGGCGUCGGCAGCUUCCUAAGCUCUUGAACUAUGACUUGAUUCACAACACUCAAAGUGGUAAAUAUAGCUAAUAUUUAACGCCAUGGAAUCGGGUACCCGUCGUCAAGUUCUGAUUCUUCACAGGAUUCAGAGUCGGCAGCUUCCUAAGCUCUUGAACUAUGACUUGAUCACAUGACUCAAAGUGGUAAAUAUAGCUAAUAAACGCCAUGGAAUUGGGUACCCCUCGUCGAGUUCUGAUUCUUCACAGGAUUCGGAGCCGGCGUCUUCCUAUGCUCUUGAACUAUGAUUCGAUCCGCAAGACUCAAGUGGUAAAUAUAGCAACAGUGUGCGCUCAUGCUGGUUUUCAUAUUGUUUGCUUAGUAGUUUGCCUAAGUUCGAUUAAUUCUUUUUCCUUCUCUCUUCGGAAUGAAUGUAACAAGUUUAUACUGUUCUAAACUUUCAAUUUAUAAUUUAUAACUUGAUCUUAAUAGGAAAGGAACAAUCUUUUAUACCGUUUGAUAAAAUUCGGGCGUUAAAAUUAACGACAAAAAUCAAAACUGACCGAUAAGAUCGACAAGCGAAAAGUAAAACAAUUAUGUUGAAUUUUCUUGCAUGAAAAACAAUCCAAGGAAACCUUGUAAUAGUUUCCGUAUGUCGUCAUACUAAUUGAAACAAAAUCAAUGCCACUAACAAUACAAUCUAUGAAACUGGAUCUUAUGCACGCUGCCGAUGAUACAUAAAACUCAUAAACUGUUCCUUCUGUUUUCAUUUACAACAGUUGAGGUGUGUACUACCAAUCUAAAUGAUUUUCAGCUUAUAUGAUGUCAAAGAUAUUAUAUUCUUACAUCAGCAAACAAUCCAUCUAAAAGGUUAGAAGAUGAAUUGUCAUUUCCACUCUCAUCAAAGAAACCAUUAGCAGCAAAUUCUUUUCUGCAUUUUCGCUCUUCAAUGACGGAAUCUGCUGUUUCUGCACAAAAACUUUGUCUUGUCUGCUUUACCGGUUUCUCUGCCACAAUAAACUUGUUCCCUUCACGAGUCCUCUCAGGGAAGCCAGCCCAAACUGAAGAUAACCGUGGAUGGGAAAUUUCAUAAGUUGUGCACAAGAAGAAUCAUAAAAGUAGUGUGAAAUUAUGACCACAUGUGGUUGGCAUGGUUCAAAAGGAAAGAUUUUCUUAUUCUGAUCGGGUGUCUGUUAUGAAAUGUAAACUCACUUCUAUUAAACAGUGAAAUAAUCAAGUUAGAAAGAAAGGAAUGAUUAUCUUGUGCAAUACUAACUCUAAGCUGGUACAGUAGUUCCAGUCAAAGUUCAAACAAUUUUGGUCAUUAAAAAAAAGUUAACUGAUUGACUGAUCUUGUUCUAAUUUUCUGCUUAGAUAGGUCUUAAAACUAAAGGCCAACCUUAACCCACCUCUCCAAGAAUUUGACUAGUGGGCGCCAAGUGACAGAAUAAGACCCAAGAAUUUAUAUUGGGAGAUGUAGAAAACUCGCUAUUGUAAAGGUCGAUAAAUGGUAGGAUGGGCAGACAAACGACUUGAAUAUAAUAUUUAAGAUGAAUUCUUGAGAAGGAUAAAUGAGGUUUGGUGAUUGAACAUAAUGACAUGGGAACUUAGAAAAUGAUAUUUGGGCACCAACUAGAUUCCAAGACAAUAAUCAAAACAAUUCAUAUCAUCCUAGUGAAGUUAACUUUUCUUGCUUAUGCAGUGAAACAUCACAUAAAAGCGCAUGAACCACAAGGCCUAACAGAAGAGAAGAAAACAAAACGCAGGAGUACAGGCUAUGUUUUUAUAGUACCUCCAAACUGAUGCAGCACGAUAGAAGCUGCUACGGUCACAUUCAAGGAAGCAGUACCACCUCCAUACUGCGGAAUAUACACAAAGAAGUCACAUAUCUCCAAUUCUUUAGCAGAAAGGCCCGUUCCCUACAAACAACACAAAGAAAUAUAUAAGGGGAUAUUCACCUAAUCCUAAUGUGGCUAAUUUACAGGUGCUUAACCGAUUGCAGAGUAAAGUUCAACUCAAAACUGAAAUACAGGGAACCAGAUUGUUAAAUUGCAGUGGAAAAACCUUCUCAAACUAUCAAAUUAUAUCAAAAAAAUCCCAACAAGCAAUUACCCAAGAACCCAUGAUCAAAAGUACAAUACUUUACAAGCCUAAAUACCAACAAUAAAGUUACUGAUCCAAAUUUCCAAUUAAGUCAAUAGUUACAGAGCAAAAAACCCAUAUGGGUAAUUGUAAAAAAAUGAUAAUUACCUCAUUGCCAAGAAGAAAAGCAGUGCUCUUGGUGAAAGGGUGAUGAUUUACAGGCAGAGCAUUAUCAGUGAUCUCAACGCCGCAAAUAUCACAAUCUCUCUCCUAAAACCCACACACAAAAUCGAAGAUUAAUACCAAAAUCAAAAAAAAAAUGAAGAGAGAGAGAGAGGGAGAAAGAGAGAGAGAGGAGACCUUGAGGUAGAGGCGAGCGUCUUGGAGGGAGUGGAAGUGGCGAAAGCGAAUGUGAGAGGUGGAGCCAUGGCUGCCGAAGGCGUUGAAUUCUCUGCGGCCGACCAGAAUUAGUUCUGAGACGCCGAAGGCGGUGGCGCUUCGGGCGAGCGUGCCUACGUUGUGCCUCUUGGCUAUGUUGUGCACCACCACAUAGCACUCUACCUCCAUUUUCCCCCUUUCGCUGAUUUCAGUUCAGGAGGCUCAGUCGCCGCCAAGUCCAACCAUAAGAAAGUAGCACAACCAACCUAACAAACUAAUGACCUAGUUUUAGAUUUUUGUUCAUUUAUAUUUAAUUGUGUUUAAACCCUAAACCCUAAUUUUUUUUCAAGGAAAUUUUGAUUUUGAUUGUUUAAAAAUCAUAACUUAGAUUGUUGUUUACAAUUUUUUAAAAUAAUAAUUUAGAUUAUUUUUGUUUUUUGAUAGAGUAGAAUUUGGAUUGUUGUUCAUUUGCUUAGUUCUUAAAUAUUGUCACUUAUAGUAUUACGGUUUAGUUUGCGAAUCUCUAUUUUCUCAUAUUUGACGCUAAGUUAUUGAAAUUGUAUCAAUUUGUGCACUUUGUUUGAUUGGUUUAGGACGUGGUGAGCUUGAGGUUGUUAUAUGAGGUAACGUGUAAGCCAUAUUUGCACCACAUUUGCCAAAAAGCUCAUCAAUUUAAUGGAUUAGACAUCAUCCAAAGAGAUAAAAGGUGUGAGUUCAUACAAUUUCACAAUGACGAGAGGGUAGUAAGCUAUUUUGAGCUUAAGACGUGGGUGUGGGCUUACAGAAACUUCAAUGUACGAUCAGUUGCUUGGAUGAUUUUGAGUAUUGGCACUGCAGAUGAAUUACACGAGUCGGAUUUUCUCAUCUACGAAAUGGACGUAGAAAAAAUGGGUACGGAGGAAUUGCAGAUUCUGCUUCAAAAGAAAUCAGAUGGGAAACGCUGCCUACUUGUUCUCGACAAUGUAUGAAAUGAAAAUCGUUAAAGUUGGCUUCAAAUGAAUAGUUUGUUAAGAGGUGGUGCCAAGGGAAGUAAGAUCUCCGGUAACAACUCGUAGCACCAAGGUUACCUUGGUUAUGGAUAUAGAUUCACCGUACGUGCUGCAAUGUCUACGAGAGGAAGAGUGUUGGACAUUGUUCAAGAAAAUGGCAUUUAGACAAUGAAGGGAGGAGGAGAACUCGAUGUGGUGCCAAUUGGAAGAAGAAUUGCAAACCAGUGCCAAGGCGUUCCUCUUGCAAUAAGGACUUUGGGAAGCUUGAUGAGAUACAAAACUAGCGAAAGCGAGUGGUUGGCGAUUCAAAAUAAAGAAAUUUGGGAGUUUUCGGAGGAGGAGAACGACAUUUUAGCAAUACCGAAGCUAAAGGUAAGCUAUGACCACAUGCCAGUUUAUUCGAAACAAUGGUUCUCGUACUGUGUCUUGUUUCCUAAGGAAUGUGAAGUCAAGAAAAAAUUGUUGAUCCAGCUGGCCAACUUCUUCUCGAGUAAUGCAGGAAGAUUAACACAACAAACUCAAAGAGUUUGUAUAUGAACUAAGUGCUAUUAAUAUGAAGAAAUGUAGAAGCAGAAGCAGAGUUUUAGAGAGAGAAUAGAAGAGGACAAAGAGAGAGAAAGAGAGAAAUAGGAAUUCUGUAUUCCUUAAUGAUCAAGUUUACAAUGAUUCAUGUGAAGGUUUAUUCUACAGUAGUACAAUACAAUCCUUAACUAUAUUAACUACUGACAUUUAUAACAAUCUAAUAUAAUAUUAUAGUAUUAAGUGACACAUGCCCUAUUUUGAACCAUUCACUUAUACACUUAACAUUCCCGCUUAAACUCAUGAUUGGAGGAUCCAAGCAUGAGGUUGGAACAAUGAGUUUGAAUGACUGCAAAUUGCUGAUUUAAAGAGGUCAAUUGAACAAAAAGCUUCUUGACAGAUGACCAUGAUAUAAGAUUGUCUCCCUCAAUCUCAUGGUUGGAGUAUCAAAAUAUGAGAUUGUUGCAAGGAAUAGAGCACAUUAUCUUCAACGGGUGAUAAGUCAAACUAAUACCUUUGUCGUCAACAUCUUUAGAUUUAAUGCAGUUCAUGAAGAACAUAUUUUGAUACGUCAUGAAAGACCGAUUGAAUUCUUCCAACCAACUGCACAAGUAAUCUAAUUAUAACAACAAGAAAUUCCAACUCAAACUGUAAAAGCCAGCUCAGCAACCCAGCAAUUAAGAAGGAAGAAAUCAGUCUCAAAGUACAUCCAAGAUAAAUGUUUCUGAACAAAAACUUGGGGCCUCCGCCUUUGUCAGUAAUUAGCAUAUGAUAUGCUAGCUUAAGAUCAACAAUACUUGCACCAUCAUAUAACCUACUCAAGGUAUGCAUUUCACAAAGUGUUCCAAUGUUGUCAUAGUCUUCUUGCCAAUGGUAAGAGCAUAUGUUUGAUAAGGUAUUACAUGUCUCCAGAAGAAUGCCACCAGUCUCUGAAUUUCGUAGAGGGAAUCGUGUUGAUUUUUGAUUAGGUGAUUUGAUGGUAAGAUCAGAUUUAAGUGAUGGAAGGUAACUUGUAGAAUGGCACAAAGAAGUCGAUACAUUGAUUUCAUGAUCUGAGCACUGAAAUGAUGGUGUCAAUGGAGUGUGGUGAGUGUGGUUUUGUAAAUCAUACAACUCAAUAGAUAAAAUAGCUUUCUUUGUUGCCACCAUUUCCAACUUCUCACCAAACAUGCUUUCUAUUCUUUCCUUAUCAGCUCCUUCACUAGUCAUGUCAUUAGUCACAUCAUGUUCUAUUGGAAUAUAAUCUCCCUUCCUGCCAUAAACAUGAUUACAUCCACUGAAGCAUCCAUCAUUGGGCCAACAACAUUCACAAUAUUUUGUCAAUGGAGGAUGAGAGUCAAGAAUUCCUUGAGAUAUUUUCAAUGUACUUUGACAUAAUUUAGGGGCUAAGACUGAAGAGUGAGUUUUAAGUAUGUGAUAACAAUGAGCAGCAAAAUGACCUUGUGUGAAUUAGGAUACGAAGAUGAAGGUGAGUCAAGAACUCCAAGUGAAAAUUGAGGAAAAGACUUGUGAAAUCCCGUUCCCAGAAUUUCACUAUUCAUUAUGUAUCUCGUAAUUUAAGUUCGUAUUUCAUGUUUACGUUAUUUUUAUUACUUAAUUUUAAUUCCGUAAAUUUUGGGAAUUAAAUCGAAUAGUUAUCGAGUCUGAAUUUUCGAAAUCAAUCUUUAUCUUUCGUUGACUUUUCGAAGUUUUAACUAGUGUUUUUAAAUAGAUCUCGAACCCACGAACGCAUAGGCGAAAGCCGUUUGCGAGUCUGAGUUAUAACGAUAUAGUUACAGACGUUUGAAGUUAUGAACUAUAGAUUGUGGGAAUUAUUUAAUUCCCACAUGUGGGUUAAAGGGUAAGUUAGUUUAAAAGAGGACCAAAUCAGAUUUUUAGAAGGGGAAAAAAGGACCAAUAAGGGAAGAAUAAAAAAAUGGGGAUUUUUCCCCUUCCAUUUUCGUCCUCCCGUGCACCCACAAACCCGACUUCAACUCGGCUGAAUUUCGACCAAUCUCCACCAUUUUUCAGGUCAUUCUCAACCCUCCACCACCUGCAACUUAUUCCACAACCUCUCAUCUACCUUAUUUGCUCAAAUUGAAGGGUUUUUAAGGAUAAAUUCAGGUAGAACUCCACCGGAGAACCCGGGGGUUCUCGACGGUGAUUCGUCGUUCCGGUGAGUAUCACCAUGCACCAUCACCCUUGAUCAACUUCUCUUGGACCCAAGAACAAGACCCAAUCAGUUGUAGGGGUGUUGGAACACCAAGGAAGCCGAAUUGAAGAACACCCACCUUAGGGUUUUCGAUGGGUGCAAGCCAAUAUGAGGGCCUUCCCGGCUAAAUUAGACUUGGCCACAGGUAUAAAGUUUACUCUACUUGUUGAGAUCUUUAUUCCUAUAAAAUUUGAGAAUUUUUGGAAAAAGUCGAAUUUUCCGGUGUGUGACAUCCGAUUUAUGAAAUGCUGAUGGUUAACAUUAUGUAUGUAUAGUCUUAUUUGAAAAUUACCCAUUUAUCAUGUUGCAUUUUUUUUCUUUAAAGUUAGUGAAUGCAUUAAUGUAAUGUUGAUGAUGGGGAAUCGACAAUUAUAGUGUCCCAUAAUGUGAAAUUCUUUCUCUUCAUAUUUGGUACAAUUUUGCUAGAGUUGUUAGUAUGCAUUUUGUCAGACGUGGUCCAGAUUUUAUCCUUGUGAUGACAGUGAAUAGCCAUUGUUAAUGAGCAUAUUGAUUCCAUCUCAUUGGUUUAGCAUUAUCAGACCUUUCUGCUUAUGUUUGAAGUUGAACGAAUCCUUAUAUGUAUGUAUAAAUUAAUGAAGGGAUGAAUUUGUUUCCUUAUUUACCGUAUACAUAUAUCUAUGUAUGCAUAUUCAAAGGAACUUACUUAUAUCCCUAGAUAUAUAUAUACUAACUGCUAAGGCUUUUGUAUACAGGUACAUCUAUAUUUGUAAGUAGCAUCUUCACUUAUUUUCUCUAAGUGUUUUCAUUCAAAUGUUACAUUUAUUUUGAUCAUGUUAAUACAAGUUAACCAAAAUAGUACUUGGAUCUCAUAGUGUGAAUUAGUAGUUCCAAGUAAUCUAAUUAAGCCUAGAGUCGGAAGUGAUGCAUUUAGUAAUUGCAUAUACUUGAGAAUAGGAGUUGAUCAAGGUGAUGGAUGCUUGUAGUAAUAAUUCGAAACAAUGCUUUGGAACCUAGAUGGGAAAUACAGAAAUGGAUGGUGUAUGUGCUCAUGUUGUAAAUCAUAAGUGUGGAGGUAGAAGGUAAGCUGUGUGUUGGUUUGAUAGCACCAUGUAGCAUUGGUACAUCGAUAACCCUACUUGGUUAGUUAUCUUGACCCUGCUUGGUUAAUCCGCGUUGGGGGGUCACUAAUGGUCCUGCUUGGUUAAUCCACUUUGGGGGACCAUACUAUAUAUGGAUUGCGCUUGGUUAAUCCGCGUUAGGCAAUCCUUAUGGCCAUGUAUGCUUAGGAGUGAUCAUGCUUGGUUAAUCCACAUUGGGUGAUCACUUCCUAACAGUUGUAGGAGUGACUCUACUUGGUAAAUCCGCAUUGGAGGGUCACUUCUUACUUGGUUACUUUCUCAGGGGUGGCUCUGCUUGGUUGAUCCGCUUUGGGGGGGGGCACUUCCUAUUUGGUUACUUGCGUAGGCUUCGGUCGAACGACAUCUUUCUAGCUCUAUUUUGAGUAUAUCCAUGAAUUUUAGCUUUGAGAACUUUGAGUUUGAUUUAGAAAAGUCGUUGGAUGUCUAUGUGACUCUUUCGAAGUUUGCAAAGGUUUGGUAUUAAUUUCUUAUGAAUGAUUUAUAUUCAAAGUUUAUAAAUUGUGAUUGAUGGUUGAUUUCAUCAUUAUUAUUACAUACUUUGUAUUAUUGUCGCUCACACGAGUUUCGCCUUAUCCGGGUUGUUGGUUGCUCGAUGCACCAUUUCCAUGAUGUAGGCACUUAUUUCACAUGCGACAGGUCUAGGUAAAUUAUGAGAAACCGUUUGAUAUUUUGAUUCCGUUAAGUAGUCCUGAAUCCUUGCUCUUGUUCAUUUCCAUAAGGUUAUCUUAGAACCCUAGAUUUGUGUGAAUGGGAAUUACCCACAAUGGAUCUUGUGAAUACAAAUUAGAAUUACCAUGUUAUUAUCCAUAACCCAAGUAAGGAAUUAUGUAGAGUUCUUUAAUUAAAUUCGUGAAAUGAUAUGCUAUCUCACUGAUUGAUUAACGUGAUUAAAUAUUAAUAUUGUGCUUCGUGAUUCCUUGAUAUGUUACAAGCUAUGGAUUGAGAUAUAAUGUUGGAAGCAUAGUGAUUGGUAUGAUGUAGUGAAAUGUGAUUUGACUUGUGUAUUGGAAAUGGUUGUGACAUGUGAUUGAAAUGCAUAUUGAAUUGCUUGGGAGAUGUGAGGUCUAGUAAUGGACCGAUAACCCAUUAUGAUAGGGAUUUGUUGCUUGAUAUUGUUUCGUUUCGUUGAGUCUUUGUGAAUUGAGUACCUUGAAUCAUGUCUUAUUCUUUUGAGCCGUUGUUAUGCUCAUGGACUUUCGUUCAGUUAUGUUGAGUAGUCCGGAACUGAGUUCUGAUUGGAUUCCGUUGAGUGAUGGUCCGGAAUCCCUUCUACUUCGCGAUUCCGUUGAGUGAUGAUCCGAAAUCGUAUCCUGAUUAGAUUUCGUUGAGUGAUGGUCCAGAAUCGUAUCCUGAUCGGAUUCCGUUGAGUGAUGGUCCGGAAUUCCCUUUGGUGCCUUGGUUCCGUUGGGUGGUCCAAAAUUUCCUUUUUCAAAUAUGUAGUCUUCAGCAUAGCUAUGGUGCUCUAGCCCGCAUUUUGAUGUGUUGUAUGUGUUAUUGAUGAUGUGAUGGUUGGCAUUAUUGAUGGAUGUGAUUAUGGAAUGAUGUUGGUUAUGGUAAUUAUGAUUAGACUCAUUGAACUUUAUGACUAGUGCAUAUGAUUGUGCUCCGUCGUUUGUCCCUUGUAAUGUUGCAUGUUAUGCAUUUUGAUAUAUUGUUGAGACAUAGCGAUUUAAUUGAUGAAUAUUCGAGUGUAGUGAAAUGACGAACUACGAAUGGCUUGAUCCCUAAUGAGGGUACGUAGGCAGUUUUAGAUGCAGCUAUAAAGUAUACGAAAAACUAUUAUGCGAUUCGAUUAUCAAGUUGUGCUUUGUACAUAUCCUGGAGGCGGGGUAUGUUAGAUAUACGGGUAUUGGUGUCGUCAUGUGUCGAUCCUGGAUGUAUGUUAAGAUCGGGGCGUGACAAGACUUGUAUGUAUUAAACCUUGGACCAUUAUUGUAAUGGAAUCGACCCUUACCACAUUGCACGACAUUAGACAAGUGAGAUGGCAAUUGCAUACGAUUGGUUUUGUCCAGUGAAACUGGUAUGCAAGGCAGUCAUUGGAGGUGCAGAUGAAUAGGUCUUAUUUCUAUACAAGCAAGUGACAGCACUAUGGUUCCUUCUAUUACAGAUUUGACAUGGCUCAAGUGAAUCAAUGAUUCUGUAAAUACAAUUAGCUGCACUAUGACCUUGUUGAGCACGCAAUUAGCAAGUGAUUGUAGAAUAAGAAGCUCCGUUGUUAAACUAUGAAGUGAAAUCAUGUACAACACAUUUAGGAUUAGAAUACCUUUGGCCUUGAUUAUACUGAAACUUGCAUGUGCCCUUUGAUUUUGAGUAAAAGGAUUGAUUGUGUCCAUUGCCUCCAUUGCAUCUAGAACUAGCAUAGAAACUAGAAUGACCAUUGCCUUGAAAACCCAGAUUUUUUUGUGUAGAGCCAUUUAAUGCAAAUGAUCCUUGAGCAUAAUUGGCAGUUACUGAGUCUUUGGAACCCUGUCUUUGAUCAUGUGCCACCAUAGUAAAGAGGAAUGGUAUUGAAGAAUUGUUUUUAACAAAAGCUUCCUCUGCAAGCAAUUGGGAUCGAAAAUCUUUGAGACAAAUAACAUUUUCUCUGCCACGGAUCACACAUCUAAAGGUGUUGUACUCGGAUGGCAAGCCAUGUAGAGCAAGAAUAACAAUGUCCUCAUCUGCAAAUGUGACUCCAAUAGCAGCAAGAAAAACUCUUGCUUCCUUGAUUCUUUGCAAGUACUGAGUCACAAAAUCAGUGCCUUUCUUGAUGGUAUAAAGAUUUGAUUUCACUUGAAAGAUUGCAGCCCUACUCACGAUAGAGAAUUGUUCUUGAAGCCUAACCAAUAAAUCUCUUGCACUUGUGCUACCAAUAGCAUAAGAAAUUGCAGAAGAGGAUAGGGUUGCAGCAAUGAGAUGCAUAAGUGUCAUAUCAUGCAUUUUCCAAACCUUGUAUUCCUCUGUUUCGGUUCUUGAAGAUGAGACACCAGUCGUUACCUCAAAAUCUCCAGGACAGGUAAAAGGAAAUUAGGAAGGACACAUAUUUGUGCCAUCAACAAACCCCAUAAUCCCAUGACCUUCAAGCAUCAAUUGCAUCUGAAAGUGCCAUUGAAGGUAGUUGGUCUCAUCCAACUUGACUGAAACAGAUGUUGAAAUGGAUGAAAUUAACCCCGUGAUCGGUGAUUGCAAGAUCAGAAAUUGACUCGCAGUAACCAUGUUGAUCAGCUUUCUCAGAGAACUUAAAACAAACACUUGGUGUGCAAGAACUUGCAGAAAACAGAUGGCAGAAAUGGGUAAGAAUUACAGCCCAGAAAUUCACAAAAGAAAUCACAGAAAGAUCGUAGAAGAAAGAAAUAGGUAGCGGAAGCAAAGAACUAAGGAUGGAAAUGGCUUGCAACGAAGCUUAUUCGGCGAUGAUACCAUGUUAAUAUGAAGAAAUGUAGAAGCAAAAGCAGAGUUUUAGAGAGAGAAUAGAAGAGGACAGAGAAAUAGGAAUUCUGUAUUUCUUAAUGAUCAAGUUUACAAUGAUUCAUGUGAAACUUUAUACUCACAACAGUACAAUACAAUCCUUAACUAUAUUAACUACUGACAGUUAUAACAAUUUAAUAUACUAUUGUAGUAUUAAGUGACACAUGUCCUAAUCUCAACCAUUCACUUAUACACUUAACGUUCCCGCUCAAACUCAUGAUUGGAGGAUCCAAGCAUGAGGUUGGAACAGUGAGUUUGAAUGACUGCAAAUUGCCGAUUUGAAGAGGCCAAUUGAUCAACUACCUUCUCUGAAGUUUCUCAAACUAUACUCUUUAAGUUCCGUUGAGCACACCAACAAUGGCACCAACUGUUCUUCCACUUCUAGUUUGGUUGAUGGGAAGAGAAGCAUUGUUUUUUCCCUCUUGAAAGAGCUUGUACUUUAUGACUUGCCACUCUUGAGCAGCAAGCACUGAUGGAAAAAAAAUUACGACAAUGGAACAAGAAGUAAGGCGAAUCAGCAGUUGCUAUAGUUUCCUUCCCUCACCAAAUGACAAUAAUGGACACCCCCAGUUUGCUGUCGAUGCCAAUGCUUCCACAAGUUGAAGAACUGAUUAUGGUCAAUAUCACUGACAAGCUCCUCAAGUCAAUGGUGAAAGUAGCAAAAGCAGCUUCCGAAAGUUCAAAAGCUUCUUCUUCCUCCUCCUCCUCCCUUGCUAGGUUGAAGUCUCUGAGAAUCAAAUCCUGCAAUGAUCUCGUGUCUUUGCCUGAUAACAGGAUGUGUAGCCUCACUUCUCUUGAGCUCCUGGAGAUUGUAGCUUGUGAAAAUUUUAAAUCUCUACCUAAAGAAAUGUGUUGCAAGUUCACUAGGCCAGAAAUUUAGAAAUGCAGAACUCUGCAUCAUCUAGUGACAAAGUGAUAAAGGCAUCAGCUAAGGAGAUUUUUUUUUUUUUGGGGGGGGGGGGGGGGUGUGGGCUUGUGGUUUAUACAACAUUGUCUUUGAAUACUUCGUGGAGUGAUUCAUCGUAUGUACUUUAUACAUAUUAUACUUGUAGUCGUUUACUAAAUAUACAUAGAAAUAUGUAAUUGUUUGAAGGAUCCGAUGUUUUAUAUAUCAUGUGAUCAGCACAAAGAGAGAGGUAUGCAAUGCAACUUGUACCAAAAGCCACAAGCUGCUGUAAUAAUACAAUGAUUUAUUUCAAAGAUCGAAGCUGAAGAAUUACACACAUUGCCUACUUUAUUUUCCCCAGUUCUUGACAAAUAACAUGAAAAAAAAACUACAUAAUUCCCCUUUAUUUGCAUUCUAAUGUUGAAGGACUUGAACGAAAAACUGGUAAACUGCAUUUAUUUACAAGCGCAGAGUCCCCAGUUAUGAAAUCUUUCUCAGAGAGCCACUUGAGCUGCUGCUAGCCUAGCAAUAGGUACCCUGUCAAAGAAUUUGAAUCAGAAAUUUGAUCUGGUUAUAGAAGUAGUCUAUUAAACUUAACUAGAUAGAUGAAAGAAAAAGAAGACCUGAAUGGAGAACACGAAACAUAGUCUAGUCCGGCCUCUGCGAAAAAUGCAACAGAAGAAGGGUCUCCACCAUGCUCUCCACAUACUCCAACCUGUUUAUUCAUAAUCACCGUCCAAUAGUAUCAUCAUCACAAGAAGAAUGGAGCAACGUAAUAUGUUGAAUCAUCGACCUCACGAUAUCUGUGAUAGAAUGCUUAAUAUCGUUUCAUUGCUGGUUACCUUUAAGCUAGGCCUAGCUGCGCGACCCUCUUCUGUGGCCAUCUUAAUGAGCUGCCCGACACCUCUUUGAUCAAGUACCUAUAGUCAAGAAAUCGGUUUGAAUUAUUUUUCGCUCCCUUAUAAGAGGAUUUUGGUAAACCUAGCUAUCUGCAAUGAAGCCUGCAUGGACUUGCAUAAUAUGCGACUGACCUGGAAGGGAUCGUUUUGAAGAAGGCCUUUGGAGAGGUAAAUAGGUAGAAACUUGCCCACAUCAUCUCUACUGUACCCAAAUGUCAUUUGUGUGAGAUCAUUGGUCCCGAAGGAGAAGAACUCAGCUUCCUUUGCAAUCUACCGUGAUCAAAGAAAAAUAUGAUAUUAUUCAGCAGAAUAUGAAUAAUUUUUAAUCUACAUUGAAAUAACAAAGUCAGCCUAUCGAUUUAGCCUUACCUCAUCUGCAACCAGAGCAGCUCUAGGGAUCUCGAUCAUAGUUCCAACUUUAUAGGUCACGGUGGUACCCAUCUCAGAGAACACUUUCACUGCGACACUGCGAAUGAGACUCACUUGAUGUCCCAGUUCCUGAAAGGCAAAAAUUUGAUUCAUAAUGAAAUCUCCCUUACUUUGCAUUUCUCACAAAUCCAUACAAAUGAAUUAUGAAUCCAGCAUGUUUACCAAAAAAAAUAAAUAAAUAAAUUAUGAAUCCAGUAUCGUAAAUAAAUAACGAAAGUGAGGAACAUGAAUGCAGGAUCAUGCCUGAGGUAUUCCGACAAGGGGAACCAUUAUCUCGGGGAAAACUUUGACACCCUGGUUGCUCAUUGUGACAGCAGCUUGAAAGAUUGCACGCGCCUGCAUUUCCGUGAGCUCUGGGUACGAUAUCCCUAGCCUGUUGACACAUUACAAGUUCUUCAUUUGAAGUUUAUCAACUAAUUUAUGCAUAGAAGCAUUCACGCAGUGAAAACAUGUGACACUGAAAUAUGAAGCUUUUGUCAUAGUUCCAAAUAACAUGGAUCUAAAUUCAUAGGUAACUAGUUUAUUGAUGCAUGUGAAGUUACUAAAGUGAAUGAAGUUCAUCAGUUAAAGGAUGUUUUCCGCAACAAUUAAAAUUCGAGUAAAUCUUUAGAUUGGAGAGCCCAUGUGAAGAAUGAAGAGCCACUAAACCUGCAGCCGCGGAAACCAAGCAUGGGGUUUACUUCUGAUAAUUUCUCAACUCUUGAGAAAACUUCGUCCUCGGUCAUGCCAGUCUGUGUAGUUAGUUGGCCGACAAUCUGUUCCAAGUUACCUUCUGGAAGAAAUUCAUGAAGUGGAGGGUCUAACAGGCGGAUUGUUACUGGAAGACCUGAAAUUUCAUAAAUCACGUGAUAAAUAAGCUACUAAAACUAGUUAAAGCAAAAUAUUGACAAAAUCUUAAAUCAGAUUUGCGAAAAAUACCAUCCAUUGCACGGAAAAUUCCUUCAAAGUCGGAUCUCUGAUACGGUAGUAAGAGGUCCAAUGCUGCCUUCCUCUGUUCAAGUGUAGCUGCCAUGAUCAUUUUUCUUACCGCCUUUAUUCUAUCAUCCGAAGCAAAGAACUGAAACAUAAAAAAACAUGAGAAAUAUCAAAAAAGAUCUACAACCUGACAGUAUUUGUUAACCAGCCAUACAUUUUAGCAACAACAAAUAAUUACCAUGUGUUCUGUCCUGCAAAGUCCAAUCCCUUGUGCACCGUUAUUUCUUGCUGUUAUUGCAUCUUCAGGCGUGUCAGCAUUUGCCAUCACCUGUUGCAACAUUACCAUGAACAUUGUUAGAGAAACCAGUACUCAUACCAGUGAAAAGGAAAAACAGAAGAAAAUAAGUCACCUUGAGACGCCUGACUUUAUCAGCCCAAGACAUAAAGGUUUCCAAAUCGCCACUCAAAGCCGGAGGAGCAAGUGGCUGUUUUCCCAAUAUGACUUCACCAGUGGACCCAUUGAGUGAAAGCCAUUCUCCUUCAUUGACCACCGUUUUCCCGAUCAAAACCAGCUGUAUAAUCAAUGAACAACCCUCAUUUAUGCCAUGACUUGAUACUUCACAGAAAGAAAACAAAUAUUGUUUACAAGGGAAAUUGUUAUAACCACCUUCUCACUGUCAUUUACUCGGAUGUCAGCGCAGCCAGAAACACAACAUUUACCCCACCCACGCGCUACAACAGCUGCAUGAGAUGUCAUUCCACCUCGAGCUGUCAAGAUUCCGGCAGCAGCAUGCAUACCCCCAACAUCUUCGGGGCUAGUUUCUGUCCUUACCUAUAAUUAUGCACAACAACAAUUCUCAAUGAUGAAUCAGGGCCAUGGCUCAACAUCUUCCGGUAGAAAAAGAUGAACAUUUAGCUUACCAGGAUGACUUUCUUUCCUUGUGCAUGCCAUGAUUCAGCAUCUUCUGCAGUGAACACGACUUGUCCUACUGCUGCUCCUGGAGAUGCAGGUAACCCAGUGGCGAUCACUUUGUCUUUGUAAGCAGUUGGAUUUUCAAACUAAUCAGAAAAAAAUUAUACACGAGGAAGUCAUAUAUCCAUGGGUACAUUAUACAAAUCGGCCUAUGAUUUGUGACUUAGAAAUCAGCAUAAAUACCUGUGGGUGAAGAAGUUGGUCAAGGUGCUGUGGUUCCACCAUCUUGAUUGCAGUGUGCUUAUCCACAAGCCCUUCGUUAGCCAUGUCUACAGCUAUCUUAAUCGCUCCUUUACCAGUACGCUUUCCAACACGGCAUUGCAACAUCCACAACCUAUUUUCUUGGACUGUGAACUCAAUGUCCUGCAAAUGUUGCCCAUGCUUAAAAAAAAACAUAUGUUCCAAUAAACCAAAAGAUGUGAAUGUAAUACUGAUAGGAAUGUCAUAUGUGGAAAUGAUAACUCUUACCAUCAUAUCUUUGUAAUGUUUUUCCAGAAUUUCACAGUUCUCCACAAGCUCCUUGUAAGCUUCGGGCAUGCAAUUUUUCAUAGCCUCCACGUCUUCUGGUGUCCUGAUCCCGGCAACUACAUCUUCUCCCUAUGCAAUUCCAAUUUUUGAGCUACUCGUAUAACCCUAACAAAAAACAGUCUAUACUACUGUCGACUUGGAAAGAGAGGUUCGGUAUAUAGAGUGGUAUAAAAAACCUGAGCAUUGACUAGGAACUCGCCAUAAAGCUUCCUUUCACCGGUGCUUGGAUUCCUAGUGAACAGAACACCAGUCCCUGAAGUAUUUCCCAUGUUCCCGAAAACCAUGCAUUGAAUGUUAACCGCGGUUCCCUUCAAACCAGUUAUCUGAUUGAUGCUCCGGUAUUUAAUGGCCCUUUGGCUGUCCCAAGAAUCAAACACUGCUUUAACUGCCAAGAGAAGCUGUUGUUUUGGAUCUGCGGAUAUGCAUGGGGACAAGGACAUGUAAACAUACAGAGUUGCGCUACGAAAAAGUGGGAAAUAUGAAGUUGUCAGCGGUUUAAUUUGUACCUGAAGGGAACUUUUCUCCCGUUGCUUCGAGAUAAACAUUUUUGUAUUGUUCUACCAGCUCUUUAAGAUCAGAAGCUGUUAGCUUUGUAUCAAGCUUAACUCCUUUUUUACCUUUUAGUUUUUCCAAUUUCUCCUCAAACGAUGAGUGUGGAAUUCCCAUAACCUUCAAAAGUAAAAUGGGUGAAUUUAGAAUACAUCUUGAGAAAAACAUCAUAACUUUUCACAUAUGAACAUUGUGAAAUGCAUCAAUAAAACCACUUACAACAUCUCCAAACAUGUCUAGGAAACGUCUGUACGAGUCAUAAGCAAAGCGCUCUCCGCUUUUUGCGGACAAACCAGCAACCACCUUGUCAUUGAGUCCAAGGUUGAGGACAGUGUCCAUCAUGCCAGGCAUGGAAACCUAGGUACAUAGCGUGAAAAUCAGUUUGUGCACGACAUAAACUAAUUCUUGUUAAACAGACUGUAGUCCAUUGUGCCAUUGCUAAAAUAACUACAGAAGCCAUAAAGGCUGUAAUUAGAAGAAAAAACUCUUACCGCGGCACCAGAGCGUACAGAGACGAGAAGAGGCUUGGAAGAAUCACCAAGAAUAGCACCAAUGUCCUUUUCCACACUCUCCAAGCCCUCUAAUAUCUCCUCCCACAAACCUUGUGGUAAGUCUUUGCCAUUGAGCUGAUAAUCUCUGCAUGCUUCUGCUGAUAUAGUAAGUCCAGGUGGGACGGAUAGCCCAAUGCUAGCCAUUUCUGCCAGGUUUGCACCUUUUCCUCCCAACUACAAUGCAUCAGCAUGAUAAAUACAGAAUUCAGUUACGUAGCAUAGACAUUUGUUCGACUGAGAUAAAAGUAAAACUCCUCUUGCAAAUCGGGGCGUACAAAAUGCUAGCAUUUCCAUUUCUCAUACUGAUAGCAUGUCGAAAGUGAAGUAAAACUUACCAAUGACUUCAUUCCCUUGUUGCCUUCACUCUUUCCUUUUCCGAAAGUAAAUACUCGCUGUGGAAACAAAAGAGAAGCCUUUUAGGAACUACUGAGGCACCUUGAACAAAAUGCUUGUGCAUAGUUCAAAACUAAUCAAAAUGAUCAUGAUAAUUAGUAAUAGAACCGCUCAAUAUAAGCUCUAUUUACAUUAUUUUUUUCCAGGUUUCCGAUGUGAGACUUUACAAUCGUUGACAUAUAUGUCACCAAUUAUCACUCUAAUACCAAGUUAAAACUAAAGAAUCCGACUCAAAAUUAUUUAUGAACGGAUGGAGAGGUCCGAGAUGUCCCAAGGAUUAGAAUAAUCUGAGGCGGGAUUUUUAUAUUUUCAACAGAAGGAUACAAUAUAAGUACCUUUUUGAUUGCUGGUGCACCUUGAUCUGCAACUGGGGACAGAACGGAGUUUGAUUGACUUUGUGCUGGCUCAUGCUUCUUUAGGUUUGGGUUCGUGGUCCCGUUUACUUUCACAGUGGAAGGCAUUUUUCCAAUCUCUCCCUGCUUGAAAAACCGAAGUAAAUAUUACCAAUGUAUACAAAUCAUACAACAAUGUUUAAUUGAUGAGUACUAGUCAACUUCUAAGCAAUAUAAAAUAGUUUUAAUUGAAAUCAUACUAAUUGGUUUGAAAAUGGAAUUGUUAUAACCACUGCAACAUAGUCAUCAUGCACUCAUGCGGCCUUGAUAUUUGUCAUUAGGGAGAAAUGCAUGAUGGAUUAUUUUGGAGGGCCGAUCAGCUCCCGCACAGAGAAUUGUUUUGAAAUCUUAAUAGAAUCAUGAUAAUGGAUUAAAAAAAGAGAAUUGUUAUAAACACUGCAAAGUAUUUGUCUUGCACCCCUCCACCCAGGUAAAAUUCAUUACGGACGAGUGCAUGAUUGACUGUCUUGGAGUGCCAAUAACAUCUUUGAAGAGGAAAUUUGUUUUGUAUCAAAAGAGUGAAACAGAAUCCAGUUUCAUUCGAAUGAAUAUGCACAUAUACAUACUUGAUGAAGAUCGGAUCAGAAGAAGAGUGGAGAACUGCCUGCAGAAGUUGUAAAGAGAACCUGAGCUACAACUCCUGCUUUGCUUGCGACUGUAAUAGGGUGUGAUGAAUUAUAGCGUUAAUUCCUCCUUUUAAAGCCACAAACACGACGCGUAGGUGAUGACAUGUAAGAAAUCAAGCAUUAUCAGCUAUUAAUUAUUUUGUUGUAAAAAGUAAUAUUCAGAGCUUUUUUAGUUUGUGAUGAGUUGAAUACGAAGAUCUAGAUUCGGGGAACAGUCAAGUUUACUAAAUCAGCUCUUAUCGUCUGGAUAAUGAGUAAUUUUUUUUUAUAUAAUAUUAAUACCUUUGGAAAUAAAGCUGUUAUUAGGGUUGACAGUGUCUGAUGAUGACUUGGCAAACUCGCGAGUCCAAAUCUGUAUUAUGAUAUAAUUUCUGACCAAAAAGGCAGCCGACCAGAAAUCGGCUUCGAGAUACCGAAGACGGUGGUUAUCCGUGCGAGAGUGCCAACGUUAUGCCAUGUGACCAGCAAAUAGCACUCUACCACCAUUUUCCUCGUUCGAUGAUUCAGUUCAGGAGGCUCGGUUGCCACCAACAAAACCUAGCCAAUAACCACCUCAUUUUAGAAAUAAUCGCAUUUCUUGUUUAUUGUUUCUUUCUUCUGUAAUUUCACCUAAAACCCUAACCCUAAACCCUACUUAUUUAUUUUUUUAUUAAAAAGAGAAACUAUGAGUGUAAUACUAAUUUAGAUUACUCCAUAUACUUUGGUGCUUAUAAUUGUGAUUUUGACGCAAAAUAAUUCAUUAGUUUGAUUUGCGCAUUGUUAUUAAAGUUGGAAGAUGACAAAUGAUUCAAGAACUUCAUAUUCUCAGCACACAUGAAUACUACAAUAAGAAUUGAAGAGAAUUAUAAGUACACAAAGUUAUGACAAGCUAAAAGGAUAGUUUUUAAAAAUUUUGCUUACUAAUGGUAUGUUCACAUGUGCUGACUAUUGUAAUUAGUUUUUUUUUUUUUUUUUCAUUCAAUAUCCUCAAUGUUUGGAAACUACAUUAAGAGCUUUUUUAGUUCACGAUAAGAUGAUGAAAACGGAGAUCUAGAGUCAAGUUGACUAAACCAGUCCUUAUCGUUUGGAUAUGAGUAUUUUUGUUAUUUUUUAUUUUAUAGUAUUAUAUUUGUUGCAGUCCUAUUAGAUUAAGAAUGUGAUUGUGUAAUUCCUAGUAGAUAUGAGAAUAUCUCUUAUAUUCCUAUUAGGAGUUAAUUACAUAUUUAAUGUUGUAAUCCUAAAGGGUAAGGAAUUAACCUUCACUACUACUAUAAAUAAAGGCACAAUGGGGUGGAAUAGAACACACCCACAAUUACACAUCUAUGUCUUUUCUCUACUAUUGCCGCACCUUUCUCUCUCUCUAUGGCCUCCAUAAUCGUUCAGUAAAUUAUGCCUACAACACGUUAUCAGCACGUUCUUGACACUGCACUAACAAGAAAUUUUGAUAUUCAAUCAGGAGAAUAUUAAGUUUUAAUCAUUCUUAUUAUGAAUAAUUUACUAUUUUAUUGAAUUGAUCUACAUGUUAUUGAUAUAAACUAAUUUUUCUUUGUUGAACGUGAUACAAUGCAUUGGAGAUGCAAUUCCGGCUUUCCGAGAAGGAUCUUCUACAAAUUCAAAGGCUUUUAUUGUUUUCUACAAAUCAGGUACGCUUAAAAUAAAGUAAGAUAUUUGAAACGACAUUGAAGCAUGAAAACAUUCCGCAUGAUGUAUGAACCCCCUAUGUUUAUAUUUUCCUUCCGAUAUAUAUUGUAUAUGUUCAUAUAUUUGUCAAUAUAUAUUUGUUUCAUGCACAAUUAAAUUGUUAUGUGGAAUAUGUGAGUCAAUGUAUAACAAAAUAAAUUAGAAGCAUAUUUAGGGUUUCCUAAACCCUAAGGGAUUUCGAAAAAAAAGAAGAUAGGAAUUAUGGGAUGUACGGCAACACUGUCGUGGCACUAUAGUGUGGAGACCCCCCUUGAGACAACGUAUUAGACUUGUGUCGAAGCCUUUUGGGGCUUCGUUGCCUCUGUGGAUAACCAGGCUGUGUGCCUGGUCUGUUUUCUGACCACGGGCCUGCAACCUCGACCCACAUCAACACAUGUUGGGUUGGUCAUCCAGUCUCGGCCCACGCCAGCAGUUGUGAUGCUAGGCUUUGUCUCUAUCAUGGCCCGUGUCUCCCUCAACCAGCCUAUGAGGCUAGGCUUAGUUUUUUGCGACCCUAAAUAUGACACUAGCCACAUGGCUAGGUUCCCGUGCCUCAACUCACAGGCCAGCUUUCGCUGGGCCUUGACCCGCACCCCCUUGAAGCCCAAACCAGCAGCUUGGGCUACUGUUUUUUAUCUCCUACCCAGACCCGUGGCUUGUAGUCCACUCUCGAGGCCUUUAGGGCCUUGCUUACUCACAGCACCCAAAUUUUUUUGAGCUAUACUAUUUUUCAACCUAAUAAUAUUAUUUUAAUAUUAUUUCGCUUCUACAAUCGACCAUGUAUGACCUGAUUUAUUGAAUUAAUUAAAAGUAACCAGCAGUCCAUUAAUCCAAUAAUGAAUCCAAAAUUAUUGACUUAAAUAUCACUUUUGGACAUUAACAAUUCAAUAAUUUAUUUUUAUACUUUGAACUGUAACAUACUUUCGUAGUAACAAAACUCUCACACUUGAGUUCCCGAAGAACCUCAAAUCCACUACACUUAAAUCAGCAUAUUCCAUGGCUCUUUGGCUCGCUUCUAUGGACCAUUUAAUCAUGAAAGACAUUGCUUGAAGCAUACCAUGAUAACGUCCAUGAAUGAGUACAAUUCUGAAAUUUAUAAAUCUGAUCGAAUUUGGACUAAAGAAUACUUUUCUCGUCCUUCCAUAUUUCUAACUCGCUCCUGAAGCAUCAAUGUAGAAAGCAGAAGUUUACCAAAUUCUUGGAUCUGAUUACUACCACAAACAUAUGGUAUAAUCAUGGCCUGCCAAGGUGUGGCAUCAUGCCCGAAGCGUGAUCUUUGGCACCUAAGACCUAAAACUUCAAGAAUAAGGGAUAAUAUUCCCAAACCUUAACUCUGCAGAAUCUACUUCCGUCUCAAUGGAAUAGAUCAUUGGUUAUGCACAUAUUUGUGCCCCUACCAAUGUUGUUGAGGAGUACCAUUCUAGUAGACAAUCUGUGAGCCUAAUUUUGCUCUACCAAACAUCGUUGGAAGAGUAGAAUUUUGACAUGGAUGACCUUGUUGGCCGAAUCCACCCUAGUAAUUUUGGCUUACUUUGUGAACAAUUUUUCAUGUUCAUGGAUUCAAGUUUAGUGUAUGUUUUACUUAUGGAUAAUCUUAUUGAUAUUGUCCUCGAAUAUGAUUUAAUUGAAUCAUCUUUCUUAAUACAUGUGAUCAAUUCAAUUAAACACAUGAUUAGGUAGGAAUGUGGGAAAGUUAGUUGUCUGGAUGAAUGCGUACUACGCACACUAAAUUUACACCUAAAUCAUAUCUCUAACAACGACUUCAGGUCUAUCCAACCUGAUUAAGAGCAUUGGCAUGCUCCUCGUUGUAUGAAUGGUACUGCAUCACCAUUCAAGGGACCUUAAAUUCUCCCUGUCAUUGAGUUUAUAAGGAUAUUCGAGAUGACAAUGAUCAUAAAUGAACCACUGAAGAAAAUAGAGUGGAAUAUCUUUGCACCACCUUCAAAAAUGAGCCUGAAGCUUUGAUUUGGGGCCAGUAAGUUGUCUCCCAACUGGGAAUUCACCACAUGUGGCCGACCUACAACCUGGUGAUUAAGCAAUUUACUUGCUUUAGCACGACCUUUUGGGACACUUAGGUCGAACAAUGAUGCUACGACACAUCUCCUUACCCGAACUAAGGAUCUUGUGCCUACAAUAACACUUUACCAAGCUUGCUCAUUAGGGAAAUUGAUUUUUUUAUAUCAUUUAUUGCAAAGAUAACUCCGCCUGUGUAAGUUUAUCUUACAUUGCCGGUCCCAAGCCCGGAUAAAGGAGAAGGGGAAGGGCGUCAGGUAGUCGACAGCUGGCACUCCUAUUUUACGUCGAAUCCUUAUGAAAAUGAAUCCAUAACGAAAUCGCGCUAAAGCUAGGGCGUCACCCGUAAGUGGUGCGCUGUGUGGCCCGAGCACAGUGAUAAGUGAGCAAGGGUCGCUGUAUCUCCAUCGGCACCCGGAUGCAGUGUUAAAUGAGCAAGGGGGCCAUAGAAACUUCUUUUCGAACGACUCUACUCAAAGUUGUUUGGGAGCAUAUGCUCCUAUCAACUUUACACAGGACACACAAAAGAAGUACUUUGAUCCUAUUAGACGGGGGAGGUUGAAGAAGCUAGGACAGAAGGGUAGAGUUCAAGAGAGUAGAAUGCGUUUAGGAACGUUUAUUUAAGGAUAAGAUUAGGAAUGAGUGGGUUGGACAUGUGCAAAGAAGGCUUACUAACGCUUCAGUUUGAAGAUGUGACUACGGGACAGAGGUUCAGGGCCGAAUGGGUAGAGGAAGACCUAGGAAAACUUUGGAAGAAACCCUAAGAAAAGACUUAGAGUACUUGGAUCUAACGGAGGACAUGACACAAAACCGAGCGCAAUGGCAUUUUAGGAUUCACAUAGCCAACCCCACUUAAUGGGAAAAGGCUUUGUUGUUGUUGUAUUUAUUGCAAAGAUACGAAACCACCCUUUUUCACAGUGGAUUCAAGGAAAUAUAUGUGGACUAAUCCAACCAAAAUGCGGACCAUAUAAAUACUUAUGGUUUUGGUUGAUGAAUCAACAAACUGGUCAUAUGUUUAUCCACACACAUUGCUGCUAAACCUCCUGGCUGAUUAAGGGCUCACCACCCUACUUAUCCCUUAAGGUCCAGGAGACUAGAUAAUGCUGGAGAGUUUAUAUCGAUAGUUUUUCGAUAAAGUAUUGCAUGUAUUUUGGGUUUAUAAUUGAACAUUGAAUUUCCAUGUUCACCCCAAAUAGCCUCGCCUAGUGAUCAUAAAAGCACAAUUUAAAUGAUCACCUGGAUUUUGAUGAACGUACCAAGUUUUCGGUUUCUGCCUAAGGCUAUACAAUCUUGUACGCAGCUAUGUUGGUCUGCCUUGAGGCUCAUUGCCACCCAACCUAUUUGACGUUACAGUUGGUUACUGAGUACGAACCUAACAAUUUUCGUAUUUACGCAUUUAGGUGAGCAUUUCUUGUGCCAAGUUGCGCCGCCGCAACGUACCAACUUGGGUCCUCAAAGAAGGAUAUGAAUCUUUGUCGAUUAUGAUUCUUCUUCACACUAGUUCUCUUCGAGCCCUUGCAUGCGAUCUCUUUACCACUCAUUUGCAGGUUGUCACUUUAAUGAGAUAGUCUUCCCGUUUAGGGGGAGAUAAGAAUGUCAAUGUUCCUGGAGAACGGCGCAAAUUUGCGUGGACGUUGCCAACUAUGUCUCAUCUUGAUCCCCAUACCACACAAGUGUGAUAAGCAAGUGCGAUGAAUUCUACUUUUCAAAAUGUUGCUCCAGACGCAUUCCUCUAAUCUAGCUAAAGUGACAAUAUCAUAUACCAGCUGCAAACAGCCUGCAAGGAUAGACGUACUUAACAGACGUCGAGUCAACAUCCCUAAAGGGUGUGCCGCCCCUGUUGGACGAUCCAGUAUAUCGGCAGAUAGCCAAUCAAUCUGUCUUGGCCUGGAGCACGACAGAUCAUUCGAUUCGUAGGAUUCACUUCCCUAGAAAAGGAAAACAAGGCACAACAAUGAAUCUAUACUUGAUCGUUGUCUGAAAUCAUUUCCAUCUCAUGAGAAGUUCUUGGUCCAGUAUACUAGUUUAGAUGAGCUAAAUGGAAUUGAAAUGAGAUUACCAUCGAUGAUGUUUUCACUUAUAUGGUAGCUACCGACAUAAAUGAAAAACGACAAUAUUGAACCAUGUUCCAUUGAUUAAGUGACAACAUAGAACUGAUUAGACAACCAAAAUAACAAUCCAGAUCAAAUUCCUUACCAAAGUGUGUAUUGGACUUGUUGUUCCUACACUGCCCAAGGUAACCUUGUUAUGUUACAAGUGGGAAAGGAAACGUUAUGAGAUGAAUGAGACAGUGCGAUAUGAUGCACGACUUACGGCGCAAGGUUUCUCUCAAAACGUCAUGUGAUUGAUAGCAGCAUUAUAAAAUGUGGUUAGUGUUUUCUCCAUGGGGAUAUAGAUACGGAGAUUUACAUGUAAAUUCUCGAAGAAUUACAUGGACUAGUUCAAAUAGUUCCAAACCACGGAACACCCUCUUAACUUGUUUGAGGCAUUCACUUACAAUCCGACGGAUGUAGUAUACCUGUCUAAGUGAUUAUUUGAUCAGUCAGGGAUGAAUUAUGCCCUUGCGUGUUAAACUAUGAAGUCUUAUUCCAAAUUGCUAGAGUUACAGUUUAUGUCGUUGACCUGAAGUUCAAGCGUUGUUCUGACGGUACCUUGGUCUACUAGUCGAACUACACCCCGAAUGUGUCACCUUUGAGUAUACAUUUGAUCGUCCAUACAUUAUAUGCAAAUGAGACCCUUGAAGAGGUUAUGGAAUCCGAAAUUCCAUAUGUAAAGUUCAACUUUGCGCUUCAUUGUACUUAACUCAUUGUAUUUAGAUAAGACAUUUCAUUCGUUGUUGAUCAGCAUUGCGCCUACAUGCAACCACUGAAUUGGUAUUAAAAACGCACUACGAGGGCAAAUCCCAUUGCAUCUUGAGCGGAUCCAACCCCCCUGAUCCUCAGAAUGAUGUUUGCCUUGUUUGUUAUGCUAAUGUUGGUUACUUAUCAAACUCGCACAAGGCAAAUUCCCUAAAUGGUUAUGUCUUUACCGUUAGGGAUAUUGCAAUAUCUUGGAAGUCCACGAUAUGACCAUAGUUAUGAAAUUUUCAAAUCAUUCCAAGACUCUUCUCACUUCACUACACCACAAGUAAGACAUGGUUAGAAGUUCUUGUUGAGCAUAUUCGAAGUACUCUGUAUUUUCAUCUAUCGUUGAGUCCCAACGACGAUCCAUGAAGACUGUGCCACAUGUAUCAACCUGACCAAGCCAUGAUACAUCAACGAAGUCAACGCCGAGUCAUAUUGCAUCUACAUCUACAUCAGCCAAGCAUCAAGAGAUUGAAGUCAUGCAAGCCGAUCCCAAACAACCUUGCCGACCUCUACAAGACGUCACUGCCGAAGUCAACUUUCCAUAAGUUUUUCCGAGGAAUUGGUAUGCCUAACUAUCAUAUGCAAUGCUUAUAGUUCUCAUUUAUAAGUUAUGCCAAACUCAAGGGGAGUAUCCAGAAGUAUACUCACUUGAUCUUAAUGUACUCUUUUUCCCUACAAUUAGGAGCAUUUUUCCCACUGGGUUUUUGCUACGUAACUAGGUUUUAACGAGGCACCUAUCCUGGGCUCAUCAUACCCUUGUGAGCUCUUUUACUUGCGUCCAAAAGACGUAUAGUUUUGACUUAAUGCAAUUUCUCACUUUCCUUCUUAGUUUAUGGGUUUUUUCUCCCACCUUGGGUUUUACCAUAGCGAGGUUUUGUGAGUUUUACCUUUUUAUGGAUUCUUCUGUUGAUUUGAGACUUGCAUUUUCUCAUUGUGCCAACGACUUCAUCAACUGUACCUACUUCAGGCGAAAGAUGAGGUGUGUGUGAGGUGGAGUCAUGACUACCGAAGGCGUUAAAGUCUCAGUGGCUGAUCAAAAUGAGCUCUGAGCGUUGAAAGAGGUGGCACUUCAGCCAAGCCUACCCACAUUAUUCCUCUUAGCUAUGUUGUUGGGCACCACUGCAUAACACUCUAUCUUAAAUUUUAGGUAGACGGAUCAUGCGCCCACUUCAACAGCACCGACACUAUCCCCACUUGGCCACAUGCUCAAUCCGUCAGGUGUGGGUUUUAAUACAAAAGGCAUCGGUGAUAGUUAGAGUGGGGUAAUUCUAUUUAAGGGGCUUGUUCUCAAGCCUUCUGGCCAAUGUGGGACAGAGGAAUUCUAACACUCCCAGCACGUGAGACCUUAUUUUAUGGGUCACACGUGGAGUUCCACACAUCGACAACCACGUGGAGCCAAGCCGGGGCUCACUCGUUCGAGGUGGGCCAGUGGCACGUGGCAUCUCUUGGCCUACAUGGAGCCAUGUCGGGGCUCAUCCAUUUGCGCGGGGCCAAAGGGGACCCACUCGUUCACGUAGCAGUACAGGUCCGUCCCCUAGCUCUAAUACCAUCUUAAAUUUCAAGUAAACGGGCCAUGGGCCCACUCCAACAACACUAAUAUUGUCCCCACUUGGCCACCUGCUCAAUCCAUCAGGUGUGAGGUUUUAUCACAAAAGGCCUUGAUGAUAGUUAGAGUGGGGUAAUUCUAUUUAAGGGGCUUGUUCUCAAGCCUUCUGGCUGAUGUGGGAUAGAGGAAUUCUAACACUCUACCCUCCAUUUUACACUUUUGCUGAUUUUAGAAAAAAUCGUUCUUUUUUUUUUUGUUAAUUUAUUACUUUCUUCUAUUUUUCACUCAAAAACCUAAACUAUGCUGAUUUUCUAUUUUUUUUACCAUAAAAAAAAAAGGCAAACUAUGAUUUUGAUCAUAAUUUCGAUUACCCUUCACUUUGAUGUUUAUAGGUUUGAAUCUGACGCAAACUAUCUUAUUAGUUCAAUUUGCGUAUAUUGUUUUUAAAAGUUGGAAGUAGUUCCAAGUUUGAAUCACCGUUAUUUAUUGAAAAUAUGAUUUCUGACGCAAACUAUCUUAUUAGUUCAAUUUGCGUAAGUUACUAAACUUUUAAGUUGGAAGAAGUUCCAAGUUCAAAUCACCGGCCCUUGUAUAUUAAACAUACGAUUAGAGGAGUGAAACCGAAGCGGUGGAUGGAAAUGUACCAUGAAUUGCAUUCUUAUUAGCUGAAAGGCCGGAAUUUUUGGCGUGGAACUUCAUAUUCUUAGCAGACAUGAACAUUAAAAAUAAGAAUUGAAGAAAAAUUAAUAGUGCAAAAACAUAAUUUGAUGACAAGCUAAAGCUAAGAGGAUAAAUUUUGAAACUUCCAUUGGUUGCUGACAAGCUAAUGCAGACACAUAAAAACCUUGAUAAGCACCACUCUGUCAAUGUGAAUUCAGAACGCUUAAUGACAAGCUAAAUUACGAUCAAAAUCCUAGUUUCCCCCUUUUGUCCUUCCAAUCUGCUUCUAUAGGAAGUGCUUUCUGCUUAUAAGCGCUUUAAAUUUUGGUGGUGUCGGAAGCCUUCUAACAAACAUGUCAUAUAAUUACUACCAUAGUCCUCCUCUCUGCACCAAGUUUAUUUUAAUUUACCGAAGAUGUUGCUUCUGGCUCAAGUUUGAUCUGUUCGAAUCUCACGCAUGCCCUCUAGGGAGAUGUUUAAGUCUGCAGCAAUGCUUGAGUUUUAAGCGUUUGUAGAUUGCUCUAUAUGAUCAAUCCAAACUCAGGAAUGCAACUUGGGUAAACUGCUAUUUGACCUCUUGAACUAUUACCCCAGCUGAAAAAUUAGCCAAUUAACCCCUUAUCAGUAGAUUUCAUCCACUAUUUCGUCAAAUUCAAGGGCAAAUUAAUCUUUCCAUCAUCAAUUCUGACUUGUCAACUAUAACCACUAAUAAAUUUAUGACAUAUGGACACAAAAUAAUGUGAAAUGACAGAUGGUGGACGGAACCUAACGGCAAGAUGUUAAUUGGCUGAUUUUAAAUAGUUCAUAGGGUUAAUUUACCAAAAAAAAAUAAUUUAGAAUGUCAAUUUCAACUGGGGUAAUAGUUCAAGGAGUUAAAUAACAUUUUACCUAUGCAACUUGUACAUUUACACCAAGUCAUACGUUGUUUAAUAUUACACAUAAUUUAUUCCCAAAACAUCGAAGCCGAAGAAUUAUCCACAUUCCCUAAUUUAGUUUUUUUCCUGUUCUUGUAAAGUCGGUCGUACCCAGUGCACAAGGCUCCCGCUUUACGCAGGGUUUGGGAGAGGUGGAUGUCGGCUAGCCUUACCCCCAUUUAUGAGGAGGCUGCUCCCAAGUCUCGAACCCGAGACCUACCGCUCAUGGGCGAAUGCACUUGCCAUCGCACCAAGUGCGACCUCUACUUGAUAGAUUAUAUAUGAAAUAAAUUAUAUAUGUUAUUUUCCCCUAUAGUUUGGUUUCUACAUAAUGAUAGAGGAUUUGUAUGAACAACAAAUAAACUGCAUAUAUUUACAAGUGCAGAGUCGCCGGUUAUGUAAUCUUUCUCAGACAGCUACUUGAGCUGCUGCUAGCCUAGCAAUAGGUACCCUGUACAAGAAUUUAGCAUCAGGAAUUUGAUCUGGUUAUAAAAUUAGUCCAUGCAACUUAAAUAAGAAAGAUAAAAAGAAAACGAACCUGAAUGGAGAACAAGAAACAUAGUCUAAUCCGGCCUCUGCGAAAAAUGCAACAGAAGAAGGCUCCCCACCAUGCUCUCCGCAUAUUCCAACCUGUUAGUUUAUAAUCACCGUGCGAAAAUAUCAGAGAAGAACAGAAAAAAAAUAAAAUCUUGUGACUGUAUAUGACACACCAUCGAUAUAAAUUGACAUCCCAAUUUGUUAUGGUAUGUUCCAAAUCUAUGCAUUUCCAGUUACCUUUAAGCUAGGCCUAGCUGCGCGACCCUUUUCUGUGGCCAUCUUGAUGAGCUGCCCAACACCUCUUUGAUCAAGGACCUGAAAGCAGUGCAUUUUGACUAUUAGAGUCGAAAUUUUUUUUCAUUGUCUUAUCCAGAUGAUUCUGGUGCUUUUGGGGAAAAACCCAACUGCAAUGAGCCUGCGCGGACUUGCAUAAAAUGUGACAAACCUCAAAUGGAUCGUUUUGAAGAAGGCCUUUCGCAAGGUAGAUAGGUAGAAACUUGCCCACAUCAUCUCUACUGUAGCCAAAUGUCAUUUGUGUGAGAUCAUUGGUCCCGAAAGAAAAGAACUCAGCUUCCUUCGCAAUCUAUCAUCGUUGAUAUAAAAAAAAAGAUGAUGAAUAUUGUGUUGAAAAUAAUGAAGUCAGCCUAUCAAUUUAGCCUUACCUCAUCUGCAACCAGAGCAGCUCUGGGGAUCUCAAUCAUAGUCCCAACCUUAUAACUCAAGGCAGUACCCAUCUCGAAGAACACUUUUACCGCGACACUUCGAAUGAGCCUCAUUUGAUGUCCUAGUUCCUGAAAGGAAAAUUUUCGUUGAGGAUUGAAUUUCCAUCACUUCACAAUUUCUCACAAAUCCAUACGAAUGAAUUAUGAAUCUAGUAUCAUACGUAAAUAACGAGAAACGAGAAAAUGAGGAACAAGAAUUGCAGGAUCGUGCCUGAGGUGUUCCGACAAGGGGAACCAUUAUCUCAGGGAAAACUUUGACACCCUGGUUGCUCAUUGAGACUGCAGCUUGAAAGAUUGCACGUGCCUGCAUUUCGCUGAGUUCUGGGUAUGAUAUCCCUAGCCUUUUGAAACAUCAAAACAAUCCUUCCAUCAAUAACAAGGAGAUCAUAUUUGUGCAUCUAUGAACUUCUUCACUCGAAGUUUAUGACAUUAAGCAUAUUAGCCUUCCCGCAGCGGAAACAUCUGACACUGAAAUAUCAAAAUUGUGCCAUAUUUCCGAACUACGUUUAUAACAAAUUCAAAGUGAUAGGUAAACAUGUUUUGUGAGUGAAAAUAAACUGAAAUGGAUAAAACAAGUAAUGAUGCAUAUGAAGCUAAUUAACAAAGUGAAUGAAGCUCAUCAAGAACUUUUAUCUGAACAUAUUUAAAUUUGAGUAGAUUUUUUUUUUCUGUGAACAAAUUUGAGUAAAUCUUUAGACUGGAGAACUCAUGUGAAGAUUGAAGAGCCACCAAACCUGCAGCCGCGGAAACCAAGCAUGGGGUUUACUUCUGAUAAUUUCUCAAUCCUCGAGAAAACUUCAUCCUCAGUCAUGCCAGUCUCUGCAGUUAGUUCGCUGACAAUCUGUUCUAAGUCACCUUCUGGAAGAAAUUCAUGAAGUGGAGGGUCUAACAGGCGGAUUGUUACUGGAAGACCUGAAAUUUCAUAAAUUAUGUGAUAAAUAAGCUACAAUUACAAAUCUAAGGAAUUUAAAACAUAUAGCCUUAGAGCCUAACAAUCCUUGGGAAUUUUGUUUUAUAGUUGGUCCAUGAGGUAAAAAUACAAAUAGAUUUCAAAGAUUUUAAUCAACAUUUGUGAAAAAUACCGUCCAUUGCCCGGAAAAUUCCUUCAAAGUCAUAUCUUUGAUACGGUAGUAAGAGGUCCAGUGCCGCCUUCCUCUGUUCAGUUGUAGCUGCCAUGAUCAUUUUUCUUACCGCCUUUAUUCUAUCAUCCGAAGCAAAGAACUGAAAGAUAAAAAACGUGACAAAAUCAGCAGAGCUCUAUAACCUGAUAUGAUUUGUUAACACGAAAUAAGAAGGAAUCAAAACUACAACAUUGAUAGAACUUGCAGCAGACCAUAUAACAUUACGGAUAUCCAGCCAAACACUUUUAGUAACUAAAAUUAGUUACCAUGUGCUCUGUCCUGCAAAGUCCAAUCCCUUCGGCACCAUUAUUUCUUGCUGUUAGCGCAUCUUCAGGUGUGUCCGCGUUUGCCAUAACCUGUUAUAGCAUUACCACACAAUUUUUACUGAGUAAUUACUAGUGGUAACAAUGAAAACCACAAUGCACAAAAAUAUGGUACCUUGAGACGCCGGACUUUAUCAGCCCAAGACAUGAAGGUUUCCAAAUCUCCACUUAAAGCCGGAGGAGAAAGGGGCUCUUUUCCUAAUAUGACUUCCCCAGUGGAACCAUUGAGUGAGAGCCAUUCUCCUUCCUCGACCACUGUAUCCCCGAUCACAACCAGCUGUAUCAUCAAUGAACAAACCAAAUUAUGUCAUUUUCUCUGUGGGCUUAACUACAAGAGAUCAUGUUUAUAUAGAGAAAACAGUGGAAACCACCUUCUCAGCGUCAUUUACUCGGAUAUCAGCGCAGCCAGAAACACAACAUUUGCCCCACCCACGGGCUACAACAGCUGCAUGAGAUGUCAUGCCUCCUCUAGCUGUCAAGAUCCCUGCAGCUGCAUGCAUACCCCCAACAUCUUCGGGGCUAGUUUCAGUCCUUACCUAAAGUUAUAUGUACAAUUCAGUUAUCGAAGUGUGUCGGAAAGAGAAAAAAGUUAACAGUGAAUAAGAUGAACAUGGAUAAAAUUUUUACCAAGAUGACACUCUUUCCUUGUGCAUGCCAUGUUUCGGCAUCCUCAGCACUGAACACAACUGUCCCUACAGCUGCUCCUGGAGAUGCAGGCAAUCCAGUGGCGAUCACUUUGUCUUUGUAAGCAGUUGGAUUCUCAAACUGACCAGACAAAAUUAUACAAAAGGAAGUCGUAAGUCCUGAAUGUCUUCAUACAUGGAUACAUUGAUAAACGCAUAUGCACGUUGGGCCUGUCAAUAUUAAGGCCACAUUACAAACUACAAAUUGACCUGUGGGUGAAGAAGUUGGUCAAGGUGCUGUGGUUCAACCAUCUUGAUUGCAGUGCGCUUAUCCACAAGCCCUUCGUUCACCAUGUCUACAGCUAUCUUCACUGCACCUUUACCAGUACGCUUUCCACUGCGACAUUGUAACAUCCACAACCUAUUUUCUUGGACUGUGAACUCGAUAUCCUGCAAACAUACCCCAUGUUUUAGUUCUACAAAAACAUGUGUUCCCCAAAACCGAAAAAUGUGAAUGUAAUACUGAUAGGAAGAUCAUCUAUAAAAAUGGCAACUCAUACCAUCAUAUCUUUGUAAUGUUUUUCUAGAAUUUCACAGUUCUCUACAAGCUCCUUGUAAGCUUCUGGCAUACAAUUUUUCAUAGUAUCCAAGUCUUCUGGCGUCCUAAUGCCGGCAACUACAUCUUCUCCCUAUUCAAUUCCAUUAUUAAGUUACUCUCACAAAACCAUAAAAAAAAUAGUCUCUACUAUAUCGACUUAGAAAGAUAACUUUGGUAUAGUGGUAUCAAAAACCUGAGCACUGAUUAAAAAUUCUCCAUAAAGCUUCCUUUCACCGGUGCUUGGAUUCCUAGUGAACAGAACACCUGUGCCAGAAGUAUUUCCCAUGUUCCCGAAAACCAUGCAUUGAAUAUUAACCGCGGUUCCCUUCAAACCCGUUAUCUGAUUGAUGCUCCGAUAUUUAUUGGCUCUUGGGCUGUCCCAAGAAUCAAAAACUGCUUUAACAGCCAAGAGAAGCUGUUGUUUUGGAUCUGCAGAUAUACAAGCGGACAAGGAUAUAUAAACAUACAGAGUUGUGCUACAGGAAAAGUGGAAAAUAUGAGGAAGUUGACGGUGUUUUACUUUGUACCUGAAGGGAACUUUUCACCGGUGGUUUCGAGAUAGACAUUUUUGUAUUGUUCUACCAGCUCUUUGAGAUCAGAGGCUGUUAGCUCUGUGUCAAGCUCAACUCCUUUUGUACCUUUUAGUUUUUCCAACUGCUCCUCAAAUGAUGAGUGUGGAAUUCCCAUAACCUUCAAACGUAAAACAGGUGAAUUCAGAAUACAUCUCGAAACAGAAAAGAUGAGGUUGAGUUUAUUAUAUCAAAAUUGGGAGAAAAAAAAAAGUCAUAAUUUAGACACAUGAACAUUAUGAAAUGCAACAAUAAAAGCACUUACAACAUUUCCAAACAUGUCUAGAAAACGCCUGUACGAGUCAUAAGCAAAGCGCUCUCCACUUUUCGCGGCCAAACCAGCAACCACAUUGUCAUUGAGUCCAAGGUUGAGGACAGUGUCCAUCAUGCCAGGCAUGGAAAUCUAGGUAUAUAGAGUGAAAAUCAGUUGGUGCACGACGUGAACUAAUUCUUAUUAAACAGAUUGUAGUGAAUGUGUCAUUGUUAAAAUUACAUUAGUGUUUCUUCUCCAUAUGUGCUCUUGUGAACUAAUGACACUACGGCUGUAGUUGCAACUGAAAGAACUCUUACCGCAGCACCAGAGCGAACGGAUAGGAGGAGAGGCUUGGAAGGGUCACCGAGAAUAGCACCCAUGUCCUUCUGCACACUCUCCAAGCCCUCUAGUAUCUCCUCCCACAAACCUUGCGGUAAAUCUUUGCCAUUCAGCUGAUACUCUUGGCAUGCUUCUGUUGAAAUAGUAAGUCCAGGUGGGACGUAUAGUCCAAUGCUAGCCAUUUCUGCCAGGUUUGCACCUUUCCCUCCCAACUACAAUGCAUAGGCAUGAUGAACAAGAAUUCAGAUUCUAUGACUAAAUCGAACAUGUAGAUCAAUGGACAAGUACAAAUUGAACAAUUUUUAAGACUAAAUCGGACAUGUAGAGCAAUGGACAAUUACAAAGUGAACAAUUCCGUUAUGUAGCACAAAUUUCUGGUUGAUUGAGACAUAAGUAAAACUCCUUAUCCAAAAUCGGGCCAAACUAAAAUGCUAGAAUUUUCAUUUCUCAUACUGGUAGCAUGUCUAAAGUGAAGUAAAACUUACCAAUGACUUCAUUGCCCUGUUGCCUUCACUCUUUCCUUUUCCAAAUGUAAAUACUCGCUGUAGAAACAAAACAGAAACCUUUCAGGCACCAUGAACAAAAUGCUUGUACAUAGUUCAGAUUGCCAGUCAAAUUGAUUGUUCAGAUUGCCAGUCAAAUUGAUCAUGAUAUUGUUAUGAGUUUAGAGUGCAAUCCGAAUAUUGUGAGGUUUUAUACAAAAGACCUCGAUGAAAUUAUUAGUGGAAGUUGAAUGAAACCACUUAAUAUAAGCUCUAUUUUAACUUUGUCAGGUUUCCGACGCGGGACUUUACAAUUUCUAACGUCACAAACUAUUCUAACACCAAGUCAAAACUAAAUCAUCCGACUGAAAACUAAUUAGCAAGGGAUGAAGAGAUCCAAGAUCCUGCAAGGAUUAGAAUCAUCCGACGCGGUAUUUUCAUCUUUUGAAUAAAAGGAUGCAAUAUAUGUACCUUUCUGGUUGUUGGUGCAGUCUGAUCUGCAGCUGGGGACACAACAGCUUUUGCUUCGAUGUGUCCUGGCUCGUUCUUCUUCGGGUUUGGGUUCAUGAUCCCGUUUACAAUUUGCAUCUGCUGCCGGUGACAGCGCUUGAGGCCAACUCGACCCGACGAGUUGAGGCCAUGGAAGGAAGGGUUUUCUCUAACAAGAUCAAAUUGAUCCACAUAUUUUCCCUUCAACAAUCUCUGCCUAUAAACCUCAGGUGGUGUCCUUAUGAGCAUGCCUUUCAGAGUGGAUGACAUUUUUAUACUCUCUCUGCUUGAGAAACCCAAGUAAAUAUAACCAAUGGAUACAGAUCAUACUAAAAUCUGUAACUGAUCAGUACUAGUUUACUUCCAAGCAAUAAAAAUUAAUCUUCAAAAAAUUCAAACAUGAAUUGUUAUUAGCAAUGCAAAAAUAAUCAUCGUGCACUCCUCCGUCUCUCGUAUUAGCGCUUGUCUCAAUGCAUGAUCGGUGGAUAUUUUAGAGUGCCGAUAACAGCUUGCAGAAAUAAUUUGUUAAGGAUUAAAGAGUGAAACAGAACCCGAAAUCAUUUGAUCAAAUAUGCACACAUACACAUACCUGCUGAAGAUAGAAGUGCUUUUCUGAUCAGAGGAGGUGAGUUUCUAUUUGCAAAAGUUGCAAAGAGAUAUUGAGGUGUAGAGCUUGUUCAGAGAAGCAAAAUGGCGGUUGUGUUGUCUUUGUUUUGUCUGUAACUGGUGUGAUGAGUGACAUGAGUGGACCAAAUUUUAGCGCUAACUCAGCUUUUAAACUGCCCAUUCACAAUUCAUGCGCCUACAAAAUUUUGGAACAUAAUCAACUACCAAUCAUAUUGUUGUAAAAAGUAAUAUGCAGAGUUUUUUUGUAGUUUACGAUUAGUUGAAAACGGAUAUGGACGCAAUCAAGUUGUUCCACUGGUUUGGAUAAUGUUUAACUUAUUUGAUAAUACUAAUACUAGAUUCGGGCGCAAUCAAUUUAUUAUCUUGAAGUUUCUUAGUUUUCAACAUUUCAUAUAUUAGGUUUUCUUCGUUCCAGUCUUGUUCCUAAAGUUAUAAUUCUAAGACACUUUCAUAUAUCCAUCAAGUUUUCUGUCAGAACCUCUGGUAAUUGAUGACAUGGUGCCCACAUGAACAAUGAUUGGAUGUCAUGUGUCAGUAUAGGUACCAUGUGGAUAUCAAAACAUUGAAAAUUCAAAAUUCAAAAAAUGAAAAAUUAAUAUUAUUUAUUAUCCACGUGGGCCCAAUCAUCGUCCACGUGAGGGCCAUAUCAUCAGUUAACGAAGAUUCUGACAGAAAACUUAACAGAUGUAUAAAGUGUCCCAGAAUUAUGACAUUAGGUACAAGACUAAGAUGAAAAAACUUGAUGUAUGAAAUGUUAAAAACCAAUAAACUUCAGAAUGGUAAACGGAGUGGCAAAUAACCUUAAGAAACUUGUUGGAUAAUAAAGAGUGGCAAAUAACCUUUAAGUGUUGGUCUAGUGAAAAGUGAACUCAAGCUAGAAUUCUUUAAAUGCUUUCUUUGAGGCCACUGAGUCUAUUUUAGUGUAUCGUAUGACUCGCAUGUGUUUAAUAUUCUAAAGGAUAUGGUGUUAGAUUUUUACUCACGAGUCCUAAAUUAUCGUAAUUAUUUCGAAUCAUCUCCUUCUCCUUAAUAAUAAUAAAAUUUUAAAUAAAAAUGUAUCAUUUGACCUGGACACCAAAAUAUGAUAUCAUCUUAUGUAUUAGUCGCUGACGUACUUUUUAUAUUUAAAAUAAAUAAAUAAUACAAUGAUGCUGUCUAAAAAAAUAAAAUGAAAAUAUUGCACACUUAUCGAUACCGCAUCUUGAACAGGAAGAGAUAUGAGGGUGUUUUAGGUAUUUCAGGUUGCUUAGGAAAAGAGUAAAAAGGGAGGGAAAAGUCAGUUAUUAUGGUUGACGCUGAGAUGAAGACUUGGCAAACUCGAGUCCAAGGCAGUUACAAUUUCAAAACUUACAACGUAAUUUUGACCAAAAGGUCGUUACGGUGGGGCCCGUCCCCUCCCCCGCCUCCGGAGAAAACCUGAAUCUAUAGAGCUCAUGCCACGUGGUUCGCUGGUGGACAAUCGUCACCAUGGAAUCCCGCUCUCUCUUUUAUUAUCCUCACACAUUGCUAAAUAAUCUCUUUUUUUUUUUUUUUUUUGUCAAAUAAAAAAACUGAUGCUAAGCAACUGGUUGUUGCCUUAAUUAAUCUUUAGACUUUGAAAGUUUAAAAAUGAUGUUUAGACUUAUCUAGGCGUCCGCCUAGCCCCUUUAGAUCAUUUUAGAUCUACUUAGGCACACGCUUAAGUCACGACUCUCACUUAAACAGAAACUAGAUAACUUUUAUUUUGCAUUUUACUUUUUCAAUAAAUUGUAAGAAACUUAUUGAAUACUUAGAUGAACACUCAUUAUAUGUUUAUUCUUCAUGUUUUUAAUAUGUUCAAAUACUUUAUAAUAAAUAUGUAAUUUUAUUUUGCAAUUUAUGUAUCCAAUACAAUUAUGUUUUUUUUAAGUAUAAGAGGACAUUUAUAAUAAAUAUAAUUAAAAUUAAAAAAACCGCCUAGGCCCUGCCUAAACAGCUAGGCGCUAAGCCCCUAUAUGCCACUUGACUAGCGCCUAGAGGCUUUUAGGACCUUAUUCACACAUAUAGCAAGUGUGACAAUCUGUGUGAACGGAUCGUGUCAUGUUCAUGUUAUUCGUCUGCCAAGUGUUGUGUUCAUGUUUUUGGUCUGCCGACCUAUUUACAUGUCGUGUUUGGAUUCAACCCUAUGACUAUAAAAAAGAAUGGUCAGUGUUUUAUGCGCUUCCCUCUUUUUCUAUUAGACAUUAAAUUGAAAAAAAAUGAAAUGAGAAUUAAAGCAUAAACACGCAGAAGGUCAAAGGUGUGUGAAAAUCACCUUCCCCAAUAAUAUCUUAAGUUUUUGUAAAUGUAACUACAGUUACCAACAUUCUUUUUGGGUUUCAUACAACGUUUGUUUUCUGAUGAUUUAAAACUUAUUCACAAUGUGGGAACAAAAUUUAGAGCUAACAACUCAUAGCCCUCUAUAAAUUUCAAACUAGUACAAUGAUGUGAAAACUUAUCAAACCACGCAGAGGAUCCAACCUCAGAAUACAAGGCAACUUUUAACUGUCAAAAACUCCUCGACGGAGUGAUCCAUACGCAUUUAUUCAGUUUAUAUGAGUCCCACAAAUCUUUAUUCAGGACACUCCACUCAGAUUCUCUGGACUUUUUUAAGAACGAGCAUAACGUACAGAAAUUCGCCACUGUAUCGGGCUCCUGCAAGACGGGCAAUCCUUCAUGCCCUGUUUCUCGUGGAGCUCAUUGCAUGUUCUGCAAACCACUUGAUGGGCACACGGGAGGAAGACAACGGACAUCUCCUCAGAGAGGCACAUCACACACUCCCGUUCACGUUUCACCCCUCCUGUCUCAGAGUACUCUUGAAAAUCCUUCACUACUUCCGAGAUGUAUGGCAUCCGGGACCCCUUGUGAUCCAGGCCAUUUUCGAUGUCUGUUACUUUGCUGGCGUAGCCCCCGUCAAUGCCCCUCCGCAGCGCAGCAAUUUUUGAAGAAUCACUCUUGUGUCUCAAUUGAGAGAUUUCUUUUUCGAGUUUCUGAAUAUCAUCUUUGUACUUCUGCAGAUUGUUUUCUGCUUUCAGGUUAAUCAUAUCCUCCUUGGAUUUUGUUGAAGCCUCUAUCUGUUCCCGUUCUUUUCUUAUCGAACUGACCUGCUCAAGUACUUCUGCCUUUGAUUUUUUUUCCUGUUGCCAUCUAGCCUGCGACAUACUUGACCUUUGUGAGAAGAAGCUCAGAAUUAAACCUAUUCAGAAAGAAAAUAGAGUAAAACCAACAACACAACAUUUUCAAGCUUUCAUCAAAAUGAGCUGUACAACACCGUUACAUGCCCUUUCUCAAAGUUCACACCAUCGGUCCAUCAAUCCCCUCGUCUAAUUUAUAUCUUCCAAUGUGAGACUGAUUUUCAAGUUACAAAAUGUGUGUUUGCACAUGUACAUGCAUGUGUGCUAAUAGACGAUAAUGAUAAACUCCAAAAAGAGAAAGCAAAUAUAUUGCAAGCAAAUGACAAGACUAAAUCAUCUUCAUUACAAAACAUGCACAAGUACCACUUAUAUUCCAAACGAUUUCAUAAUUCGUCAUCCCAAAGAAGUGUAAAUACCUCAAACCAAAUAAAUUCACAAUUUCACAUGCAUGAAUGCCAAUUUGGAGUACGUGGAAAUCAAGUAUUUAGAACGUACCUCCAAUUGUUCCUGGAGAUCUUUGGCUUGUUCUAGUUCCUGUAGCAGCUGUUUUAACUUGCGUUUUUCAGUCGCAAGUUCUUCACUGAACAUGGUUUUCUGCUUCUCCCAUGACUGAAACUUCAUCAGUGUCUUCUUCUCCCUUUUAGAUACAUCCUGACAGCUUGCAGCAGACUCUGCAGCACGUACUUUAGCAGCCUCCAUAUCCUGCCUCAAGGCAGCAUUCUCCACCUCAAGCCUCCGGACGGAAGAAUUUGCCCGUUCAACCUGGCUACUAGCCUUGCAGAGAGCAUUUUCCAUCUCAGAAAGCUUCUUCAUGGUGUUUUCUUCCAGUGUUUGUUUCUCUUUCUUCAGCCGCUCAACUUCUUCUUUCUCUUGCCUCAAUGACUUAAGUUCAGCCUUGUCCUUACUCAAUCUACGCGCAGCCUGCAUAACCUUCUGAUUUGCCCACUCUGUCCACUCUUGGAGCUGAUUUUGCAAGUCCCGUGCCCUCGGAACCAACUUUAAAAUCAUUUCAUCUUUCUUGUCCCGGGGGACCCACUGCCCCAAGGAUUUAUCAUACGGUAUCCCAGCAAAAACAGAAUUAGUUGCAUCAGAGUGACAGCUAAUAGGAACUGGAUUGGAAAUGCUUUUUGGAUGUAGAGAAAGGGAAAGCUCAGUAUCAGCAACUGAUAAUGCAGGCGUAGUAUUUGCUGAAGGUAAUGCUGCGGCAGUAUUGACUACAGGUAAUGCCGUUGAAGUAUUGACAGAAGGUAAUGCUGUUGAAGUACCGACAGAAGGUAGUGCUGUUGUACAAACAGAAGGUAACAUGGACGUGACACUGUUCUUAGGCAAAACAGAAGCAGUAUUUUCAACAUCCAGGUUAAAUGCUCUAGGAGAAGAAGGCCCGGCAUUGGCAGAAAGAUUAUUGUUUCCACUUUCUUGAGGCACAUCAACUCCCAUAGCCUUGCUUAUCUUCAAGGAAGCAUUCUUCAAAUUAACAGUGGUAGAGUCUGACACAGAUUUUAGUUUCUUAUCCAAGAUUAAACCACCCAAACCACUCAGCUUCCCCGUUCUUGAAGACCCUUUACAUCCAUAAGUCCGGUAACUUUUUUCCAAGUGAAGUGACUUGUGCCGAAGCAUGUAUUCUCUCUUGGUGGUAACAGAAUGAACCUUUCGACUACUUAAAAUCUUUUCCUCUACCACAGGAGAUUGAAAUGUUCCAGAUGCACCAAAAGAUUUAUCCCCAUUCUCAGAUGUGGACUUUGCACCCUCUUUCUCAGACAACGAUGCACUAUGAACAAGGGAAUUUUUCAGUUUAGCUAUGUUUGAAACCCCACCUGCAAUCAUAGGUGUCUCAGACUGUGAACUAUGAGAACCAGGAACUGGCUUGGAAGGAUUCAGAAGAUUCAAUUCCGAACUUUUGGUUUCUGUUUUUGACUGGGGUUGAUUCGGGACGGAGGAACUUCCAUUUGAAGCUCCAUCACUAAUGAAACUAUUCAAGGGAUCACCAUCCAUUGCACAAGCAUGAGAGACAUUCAUAUCACAAAUCAACAAGCACCACAUUGCAUCACCAGUGCUGAAAAAAGGCCUAACCUCUUGAAGAACACAAACCAGUUCUGCCAAUAUGUACUUCUCAAGCUGCUGUAGAUCUUCAAAACAGUGUUCCCUCGAAGGAUCAAUUUCUUGGCCACUUCUUAGAUAAACUAAAGUAUUAUCCACUAUAUUAGACACGGUGUCUUUACACCCAUAACAAAGACCAGACCGCAAAACAGCCUUUGUAGCAACUUCUUCAGUGUAACCGCAAGCAACAAUCUUUUUUAUUGCACCUUUGAAAAUCAUGUCCAAAUUGCUUAGAACAAGCUCUUCAAGUUGGUUUUCUGUGAGGUCACUCCAAUCGGCAUCCUGAAACUCUGCCUCUAGUUCCUCUCUGGGCCAGCUUGGGCUACCCUCGGAUGGAACAACAGCACUAGACGACAAUCCAAGGUCGAGUUUCAACCCAUCAGAAUGGUCUUGAUUAACACUGCACAGGUCACAGACACCAAUUUGUCCAUGACUCUGCGUGAUUUCGAAUUUUUCAGCUGAAAACUCAUAGCUUGUGCAUUCAGUCUGAGAUAAGGGAAUAAUUUUAUUCGGGUCACCUAAAGGCGGAUCAGCCCGGAACUUCCUCUUAUUCCUACUUCCCUUUUCUUGAACAGCUAUUGAGGAAGAGACUUGGGUGGUGCAACUACUACUGCCCUUGGCCACCAUUGAUGCCAUUUCAGCUGCACAAAACAAUCUAAUCUCAAUACAUUCAAUCCAUAUACGCAUCCAGUUCUAUCUAUCAGUUCUUAAAGCAAUACCAAAACACCAAAUUCAUCAAUUCCAUAAAAAAUCCAUCAAACAACAAACUACUGAAAUCAACAUUCGUAGCUGCAAUCAAUAAAAAAAAUCCAGCUCACAACAUCACCAACUGGUCAAUCUAAACAACCCAAUUAAACCCAGAUUACUAAAAGCUAAAUCCCAGUAUUAAAAUUAACGAUUUUUAACAUCCCAGAACCAAAAUCAACAAGAACACGUCAAUCAGAGAGAGAAAAAAAGACUACCCAGAAGAAAAAACUGAACAAUCAAUCCGUUUGCAAGAAACCCAGUUGAAUUUAGACGAAAAUUAUGAUCUACCAAUGUGAAACUCCAUACAAAUCUCAAAAAUAAAAUCGGGAAAAUUAGAUCAAAAUAGAAGAAUCAGAGCAAAAAAAAAAAUGCAGAAUCUGGUGUUCAUGAAAGUUAAAGAUCCCCAAUACAAAUACAAGAAUUUGCGGUGAUUAAUCAGAAGCCAUAUACGAUCGAGACGCACCCGAUUUGAGCUAAUUGUUCGAGCAAUCAAAGGUAGAAACCAGUCUCAGAACACCAUAGAAUCACAAAGAGAAUUUAUAGUUGCUUAUUUUUUUUCUUCUUCUUAUUUUCUUAAUUAUUAGCUUAAAGAGAAAUAAGAGAGCUUUGAACGUCCGUCUCUCUCAAAAGUUUCGUUGCGGUAAAUUUCAUAAUUUAUUUUUUAUUUUUUAUUUUUUAUUUUUUAUUUUUUAUUUUUUUAUUUUUUUGUCAUGACCAGACCAAUUAACCAAUGUUUUCAACGACAAAAAAAAGAAAAAAAAAAAAAAAAACCAAGGUUUGAUGAAUUUUCAUUUUUGUACUAAUCAUAGUUAAGGAAAAUUAGCCACCAACCCCAAGUAGAUGAAUUACUUCACAACUAGCCCCUUGACCCGUGUUUCGAUGCGUAUUGUUAACAUAUUUUUUUACAUAUGUAUCUCUUUAAAAGAUGUAGAUAUGCUUUGAAUAUAUAUUUUUAAAUGAAGGCAAUUUUGAGUUAUUUGAAAAUUUAAUCCGUCGUUUAUCACAUCAUAUAAUACAGAACUUAUUUAUUUACACGACUUAUAUUUGAUUUUUAUACUAGGUGAGGGAGUUUUCCUCUAUAGUGUGAUCAUUUAGCAAUGUACAAGUUAUGUCCAUGCACAUUGUGGGAUACAUUGCACUUUACCCUUGUUUAUUUGUUUAUUUGUCGACUCACAUUUGUUCAUUACACGUACAUGUUACGAAUAUACAUUGUAUAUGUAAUGCAUGUGCUAUAAUUUGUCUCCCAACCAACUUAUUUUUAACAUUCUAUUUUAUAUUUCCUCUUUUAACAAGUAGUUUAAUUAAUUUUGAAUGAUUAUAUAAAAGUUAUCAUCAUUUUCCAAUUUUUUCCCUUCAAGUUAUUCUUCUCUUUGGUUUUCAAAGGAAUGUUGUUAUAUUGUCAUCGUAUCUUGAAUUAUUAGAUACAUUUUAAAGAAAUUUUGUAUUAAAAAAAAGAAAUUAAGUUAAGAAAUUAUAUAUAUUGGCAAAGCACAGAACUUCUUCAAUGUGAGGAAAUGUAACUUCUAAAUGGACAUAUAUCCAAAUUAGAAAUAGUAUACAUCGUUCAAAUAAAAACAAUUAUUUAAUUUUAAGUACGAGGUCUCAAGUUUUUUUUUUUCCGGCUUAUAAAAUGAAAAAUAGGAAUCUCAUAUAUAAAGAGAAAACAAAAGGUGAACAGUGCUUUUGGUGUCACCAAGUUUCAACAAAAAUAUUUGGACAAAAAUGCCCCCAAAACAAAAAACUUCAAAGGCAUCCCAAAAUAAUGCAUCAAAUAAGGAAGGGGUAUUUUCAUCUUUUUAACAAUGGUUUUUUUAAUAGUAAAUUUUUUGGUACAGUUUUAUUUUUAUAAUUAGUACCUCACAAUAGGUUAGCAAUAAUGUAAUUCAAUUUUUCUAUUUUUAAAUACAUUCAAAACAUCUUAAGAGGCGUGUAAAACCGGUUAUAAAAAAUUUCUUUUGCACUUGAAUAAUAAUGUGAUUAAAUAUGUUGUCAAAUGAUUGUUUUUUUUUUUUUUUAACAAACAAUAUUAUCUACACUAAGGAGAAGGGGGUGGGUUUUGACACACCCCGUCCCGAAGGAGGGCAUGCUGGCCGUCACGUGAGAGUGACGUAACCAUUUGCACAGUACGGAAGCUUUAAUUAUACAAUUUAUAAGUUGAUACACCCGAAGGUGAGUCCUAAUUUUGUCCAAUCUGUCAGAACACCGUCGAAUUCCUCGUAGUCACCACACCUUUGUGAUUCCUGAACCUGGAGGGGCGCAAAACCAAAAUUGAGUGGGUCAGUAAAACAAUUCUUUUCCAAAUCCAAACAUUUUUCAAAACGUUGUAACCCCUCUCCGUAAAACCUGUAUAUUUUCCCAGAAAUGUAAAAUAUAAAUAUACAUAUAUAUUCUCAAAACUUCAUUUUUACUAUCUCAACAUUAUCUCUUUAUCAAUCAUGCCAUGCCAUGUCAUCUCAACAUUUCUCAUAUUAAUUAUGCCAUGCCACAUCAUCUCAACAGUAAUAAGGUAUGAAUGCAUCAACAUAAUCAUAUCAGGUGCAAGAAAGUAAUCAACCGUAGGCCCUCUAAUAGCCCUAUACGGUUGAACCUAGAGCUCAAAAUCUAUCAUUAUCACUCUACCGGAGUCACCUCUGUGACCCGUCCGGCCUUCUGCACACAAGUUACGCUCUAGUGCUUCUCAUAAAUCAUCUGUGCACAUAAUCUAAGGUCAACAAUACCAAUGUGUUCGUAUGGUCCUCACGAACAUGAUGGUACCUUCCUCAUCCUGAAACUGUGAAGUUUUCGAGAGCCUUGGUGUUUGUCCGAGAGUUUGAGAGAGAAUGAGGGAGUGUGAGAGUGACUGAGGGAGAGAUGAGGAAGAGAGAGAGAAGGAGACAACAAAACGGGAAAUGGGGAAGGAUUUCAGGAGGUAGGACCCUACAUAAAGUCCAAAUACAAAAUAUUAACACAUACAAUAAUAAAUCUAACCCUAGUUUAGGAUGUUUUUAGGUAAGUUUUACUUCGGAAAACCUAGAUUCUAAACUCCCCGUGAAAGUGCACUGUUCAUGAU
rnacentral:lncRNA from 1 species